GGAAGGAGUAGCUGCUUCCGGUGUUUGUUCCAUGUGGACAGAAACUGUUAUUGGACAAAACAGCUUUAAUUAAUAGAAUCUGAAUGGUAAGAGCGAGUAAUGACUGGAUUUACUGUAUACAGCAUUCAUGUACUAUGUAGAGUAUACAGCAUUCAUGUAAUGUAUAGCAUUUAUGUAGUAUACAGUAUUCAUGUAAUGUAUAGAGUAUACAGCAUUCAUGUACUAUGUAGAGUAUACAGUAUUCAUGUAAUGUAUAGCAUUCAUGUACUACAUAAAGAGUAUACAGCAUUCAUGUAAUGUAUAGCAUUUAUGUAGUAUACAGCAGUCAUGUAAUAUAUAGAGCAUACAGUAGAGAGCUUAGGAUUAAUAGUGAGUAUGUAGUUCACCCUGUGAGAUAUAGAAUAUAUUUACUUUAAAUUCACUUCUGAGCUUGAACAAAUUGUAGUAUAGUGUAUACCUUUAAGAAAAAAUACAAAUAACAAUAAAAUGGUGUAGUACCUGUAGCGGAACGCCAAUAUUAAAUCCACGAAUUCCGCUGGUUCAGGAAGUAAUCCACAGUCAAGCGCUGAAACAACAAGGCAAUAUCCCCAACCUCCCAGUAACCGGACGAAACACAGUUCUGAGAGUCAACUGAAGUCCUUUAAUUCUGCUUCACAAUUUAUACAAGUCCCCAUGCAAGGGGUUUCCUGAGUCCCCUCCCAGGGGCAUUCCCAGAGGGGACUACAUGGGGAACUUACAGUACAACACAUUUCUCCCAUCAGGCACUGCUGCACGAGAGGGAUCCUCCUCCUGGAAUAUACCGUUAAGUGGAUUAGCCCUCCGUGCAGCAGAACCGACAAUUUAUAUAAAAAUCUGUAACUUUGCGAAUAUACGGUUUAUUUGCACGAAUGGACGUUCGGUAGAUAGCUGGGGUCUGAGCGCAUCAUUCGUGAGAUUACCGCUCAGAUCCCAGCUAAAAUAACCGAACGCCGCACGAAAAACACAUUUAUUGAGAAACAUAUUAAAAAGACCGAUUGCCUUCCAGGGAAUGAAAUACCGAACGGCCUGGAACUCCCGAACGUCCUGGAGGCUCAGCGGUGUUCGUGCCGUCGAGUAGCCGUUUUUAGUACCAUGCGCUCGACGACCUAACACCGCUGAGGGAACAAAUGAUCCAAGAUGGCCGACCGCCGCAUGGUCGGUAGUCGAACGACGGCCACCCAGGAGAGCCUAUAAUUACCGAUUGCAACAUUGUUGCAAUCGGUUAACAAGCGCCACACGCCUCUAAGUGUGUGGGCUAUUAGGGGUCAUGUUUUCGGUUCACGAACGGCCCUCCAAAGUGCCGUUCGUGAAACGAAAGGCAAACCCCAUACAAAUAGCUAUCCGCAUUCGGCGGAUAGCAAAUACAGGCAAUUCAAGAUAUUACAGUCAGCAUACAGUGUACGUAGUUAAACACAUAUCUCCACCGACAUGCAGGCAACCCUUAAACGUACAGUCUCUGGUUAUAGUCCAAGUGGCUAGGUUUGCCACAAUGCUCCCCCAGAACCAAGCCGGCAUACACAGUCUGAUGCCCACGGAUCGGCUUGGGGAUGUCCGGAGGAGGGCUCACAGAUCACUUCUCAAGGUCUGUUUAUCUGGAUAACCCGUCAGCGUUACCGUUUUGUUUCCCGGGGCGAUAAUGGAUAGUAAAGUCAAAAGGCUGUAGCGCUAAACUUCAGCGCAGCAGCCUGGCAUUGUCUCCAGCCACACGGUUCAGCCACACCAACGGGUUGUGAUCUGUGAGCAAAGAAAAGGGUUGCCCAUAGAGAUAUGGUUGUAACUUUUUCAGGGCCCACACCACGGCCAGGCAUUCGUUUUCUAUGGCGGCGUAGCUCACUUCUCGGGGCAACAAUUUCCGGUUUAAAUAUGCUACGGGAUGUUCUCCGCCAUCUGCUCCGACCUGGCUCAGUACUGCUCCCAAUCCAAACAUUGAGGCGUCUGUGUGGACAAGAAAACGUUUAGUUGGAUCAGGAGCAGCCAGUACAGGGGCAUUGGUCAGAGCCGUCUUUAGUUGGUUGAAUGCCUGUUCACACUCUGGGGCCCAGAUGACCUGCCUGGGCAGGUUUUUCUUCGUCAAGUCAGUCAGGGGUUUGGCCAGGGCACUGUAAUUGGGCACAAAUUUUCUAUAAUACCCGGCAUCUCUGCUCUACCACCUGGUAUGGGCCCUGCCAGACGGCCUGUAGUUUGUCUGUGCGGACAGGUUUGAGGAUUAGCACCUUCUGCCCCACUUGAAAACUACGGUCUCUGGCACCUCUGUCAUACCAACGACGCUGUCGUUGCUGGGCGGCUUGGAGGUUGGUGCGCACUGCCUGAGUUAAUUCCUCCAGGCGAUCCCGGAACGCCAGCACGUAUGGUACAAUAGGGGUCCCAUCUGCGCUACUCUCUCCCUCCCAAUGCUCUCUAAUGAGAUCCAACGGUCCCCGGACCCUUCUCCCAAAUAACAGUUCAAAUGGGGAGAAACCGGUAGACUCUUGGGGUACCUCUCUGUAGGCAAACAACAGAUGGGGAAGGAAUCGUUCCCAGUCCUUAUGAGUCUCUCCGAAUGUACGGAGCAUCUGUUUUAGGGUACCGUUUAACCUCUCACACAAUCCGUUGGAUUGAGGGUGGUAGGCCGAGUUAAUGAUUGGCUUAAUGCCACAUAUUUUCCAUAACUGCUGAGUAACCUCGGCCGUAAAUUGUGUCCCCCUAUCGGAGACAAUUUCCUGCGGGAACCCUACUCUGGAAAAGAUUUUCAUCAGGGCUUCGGCCACGGUCUCAGCGUGAAUAUUGGUUAGGGCAAUCGCCUCGGGGUACCGGGUGGCGUAGUCCACCACGGUCAGUAUAUACCGCUUCCCAGAGGGGCUGGGUUUUGGUAGUGGCCCCACUAUAUCUACAGCCACACGGCUGAACGGUUCCUCAAUUAUAGGUAGUGGACACAGUUUCGCCUUGUGGCGAUCCCCCCUCUUGCCUACCCGCUGACACACAUCACAGGAGGUGCAAUAAUGUCUUACAUCUUUAGAAAUCCCGGGCCAAAAGAAAGCGUGAGUUAAGCGAUACCGGGUCCGGGUCAUCCCUAAAUGGCCGGACAGAGGGAUGUCAUGGGCUGUUCUUAGUAACUCAUGUCUAUACUUCUGGGGUACUACCAGCUGCUUAGUUUGGAGGGUCACAGAGCUUCCUAUUGCCCUUUCAGCCACCCGGUACAACAACUUGUUUUCCCAAAUGUACCGUUCCCCCUCCCGUCCCACCUGGUCCGUGUCUACCCUAUCUCGUUAUACCUGCAGUGUGGGGUCUGUCUGGACCUCUGCUUCAAAAGUGGUCGGGGUGUCCCAGGUCAUAUGCGUCAAGGGGGGGUCAUGGUUUCUUACCUGAGCCUCAGAGUGUGUUGGUGGUACCGUGGUGCGAGCCUGUUGCCGGGUAGUUACCGGAUGAGCUUCUUGCGAAGGAGCCUGGGGUAGGAAAGCUGAAGUCAUCUGGCCCAAGUCAUUCCCCAACACAACAUCUGCCGGUAACUUCUUCAUUAUUGCCACUUCUACAACCCCCUCCCCAGCACCCCAGUUCAAAUGCACCUUGGCAGUGGGUAGCCGGUACAUGGCUCCCCCUGCUACCCUGACCGCCACUGAUCCGCCAGUGUGGGCCGUAUCUGGAACCAAAUGUGGAGCAACCAGGGUCAAAGUGGCUCCCGAGUCCCUCAGCCCUUGUACUUCCUUCCCCCCACAAACACAACUUGACGGUGAUGCUGCCUGUUGUCUGUGGCUUGCACCGACAUCACUUCGUAUAAAACUCCCAAUGGUUCCUCAGUUUGCAGACUUGCCAGCUCAGCGUGGUCAGGUUCCGUGUGGUAGUAAUGAGCUGCUGCCCUUGGGGUGGAGUUUUGCCGUACCUGGUUCCACGCCUGUCUACUCCGAUUCUGGGUGCACUCCCGGGACAUAUGCCCCCACUGCCGGCAGGUAUGGCAUUGUAUGUUGGCUCGGCCAUUGUAGCGGAAUGGUGGUGGGGGGUUCCCUGGUGCUGGCCGGAAUGGGGCAGAGUUGGUAGGUGUGGAGAUGGUCGGGUGGUGUUGUACUGGUGGUUUCAGGGGACCCCUGUUGGUGAGCCCAUGAUGCCUCCUGGCAUUAAAGUGUUGAUCCGCCAACCGGGCGGCUUCUGUUAGGGUGAGGGGUUUUCUGUCUCUUACCCACUCUUGUGCCUCUGGUGACAGGCCGUUAAAGAACUGCUCCAGCAGGAUGAGUUGGCGCAGUCCCUCCAUGGUGGUGGCGUGGCUUGCCUGAAUCCACCCUUGUGACGCUUGGUCAAGCUUAUGUGCCCACUCAGCGUGGGAAUCUUUUUCUGGCUUCCUCAAUCCCCGAAAUUUACGCCGGUAUGCCUCCGUGGUUAUGGCAUACCUCUCUAGAAUUGCCCUUUUGACUUUAAAAUAGUCCUUGCUGUCCUCUCUGGGCACAGCGCGAUAAGCCUCUGCUGCUCGUCCUGCCAACUUGCCUGCUAGUAAGGGUACCCACAUUGCCUGCUCCAGAUCGUGUAGGUCGCAUAACCUCUCAAAAUCCUGCAGGUAUCCGUCGAUCUCAUCCUUCUCCUCACAGAACGCUUUAAAUGCCUGGUAGGGUAUUUUCUGCUUCACUGGAGCGCAGAAUGAGUUGGCGAUGGAUUCUGCCCUGGAGGGUGGCCCCAGGGGCUGCUGUGCCAUAAUGUAGUCCUGUACGUCUGCCAUCAGUACGGUCAAGAUGUCCAGGGGUACUGGCUGAGGUACAAAUUCCUGCCGGGUUCUCAGUUCCCUCUGAUAUGGGGUUUCCUCCCUGGCAGGUGGGGGUGGGCUGCUGUGUGCUUGGUCGCCCUCCAUCAGCUCUGCAAUUAGUACUGCUUUGGAUUUGUUGCUAGCACUUUUCCCUCUAGCCUCCAGCAGUUCCUUUAGCGUCUGCCUCUUUAAUGCCGUGUAAUCCGUCCCCAUUCACUGAUCGCUUUCGUCUGUUUGUUGCAUACGAAUUGCCUUUCCCUUUUUCCGUUCGGUUGUUUCUUUCAUUCGAAUGCGCUGUAUUCGGCUGUAGAGUUGGAUCCCGUCACUUGCCACCAAUUGUAUCGGAACGCCAAUAUUAAAUCCACGAAUUCGGCUGGUUCAGGAAGUAAUCCACAGUCAAGCGCUGAAACAACAAGGCAAUAUUCCCAACCUCCUAGUAACCGGACGAAACACAGUUCUGAGAGUCAACUGAAGUCCUUUAAUUCUGCUUCACAAUUUAUACAAGUCCCCAUGCAAGGGGUUUCCUGAGUCCCCUCCCAGGGGCAUUCCCAGAGGGGACUACAUGGGGAACUUACAGUACAACACAUUUCUCCCAUCAGGCACUGCUGCACGAGAGGGAUCCUCCUCCUGGAAUAUACCGUUAAGUGGAUUAGCCCUCCGUGCAGCAGAACCGACAAUUUAUAUAAAAAUCUGUAACUUUGCGAAUAUACGGUUUAUUUGCACGAAUGGACGUUCGGUAGAUAGCUGGGGUCUGAGCGCAUCAUUCGUGAGAUUACCGCUCAGAUCCCAGCUAAAAUAACCGAACGCCGCACGAAAAACACAUUUAUUGAGAAACAUAUUAAAAAGACCGAUUGCCUUCCAGGGAAUGAAAUACCGAACGGCCUGGAACUCCCGAACGUCCUGGAGGCUCAGCGGUGUUCGUGCCGUCGAGUAGCCGUUUUUAGUACCAUGCGCUCGACGACCUAACACCGCUGAGGGAACAAAUGAUCCAAGAUGGCCGACCGCCGCAUGGUCGGUAGUCGAACGACGGCCACCCAGGAGAGCCUAUAAUUACCGAUUGCAACAUUGUUGCAAUCGGUUAACAAGCGCCACACGCCUCUAAGUGUGUGGGCUAUUAGGGGUCAUGUUUUCGGUUCACGAACGGACCUCCAAAGUGCCGUUCGUGAAACGAAAGGCAAACCCCAUACAAAUAGCUAUCCGCAUUCGGCGGAUAGCAAAUACAGGCAAUUCAAGAUACUACAGUCAGCAUACAGUGUACGUAGUUAAACACAUAUCUCCACCGACAUGCAGGCAACCCUUAAACGUACAGUCUCUGGUUAUAGUCCAAGUGGCUAGGUUUGCCACAGUACCCUUUAGUAUGUCUAUACAGUAAAACAGAGUAAUGGGGCACUCACAUUUUCGCGUUUCGACGAAUGGCUUACUCAAUCCGGUGUGGUAAACCAUCAAGUUCCGAGUCCGUCUAUAUAUAGGUCUGUAAUUUACCGGGGUUCCCUCCAGGUGUACUCUUUCUGUGUUCCAAGCCUCGUUCUGAAGUGAAUGCCAUGUCAUGCCUCUCUCUUGAUAUCAGAAACGUAAUUUCCGCUCUUUUUGCCGUCUCAUCAUAUCCGAUUCUGUCAUCUAUAAGUAUGAACUCUGCUCUCUUCAUAUGUUCCACUGAUUGUUUGCAUUCCACUGAAUUCCUAUUUAGAUGUUGGGAACUCACGGUAUAUCUCCAUGGCAAUUUCAUCCAUAGAUAUUGUGACGGAGCUCCUGUACUCCAACCAAGUAUCUCCGCCCAACCCACUUCCUAGCUGCUGCCUCCAGAGCUCUUCUUUCCUCCCGACCAAGCUGCAGAUAUCGUCCCCUCUGCCUAUUCCUCUGCAGCUCUCCUUCCAGGCAGGUAUUGUCCUCUCUGCCUAUUCCUUUGCAGCUUUCCUUCCAGGCAGGUAUCAUCCUCUCUGCCUAUUCCUCUGCAGCUCUCCUUCCAAUCAGAUAUCGUCCCCUCUGCCUAUUCCUCUGCAGCUCUCCUUCCAGGCAGGUAUCGUCCCCUCUGCCUAUUCCUUUGCAGCUUUCCUUCCAGGCAGGUAUCAUCCUCUCUGCCUAUUCCUCUGCAGCUCUCCUUCCAAUCAGAUAUCGUCCCCUCUGCCUAUUCCUCUGCAGCCCUCCUUCCAGCCAGGUAUCGUCCCCUCUGCCUAUUCCUCUGCAGCUCUCCUUCCAGGCAGGUAUCGUCCCCUCUGCCUAUUCCUUUGCAGUUUUCCUUCCAGGCAGGUAUCAUCCUCUCUGCCUAUUCCUCUGCAGCUCUCCUUCCAAUCAGAUAUCGUCCCCUCUGCCUAUUCCUCUGCAGCUCUCCUUCCAGGCAGGUAUCACCCCUCUGCCUAUUCCUCUGCAGCUCUCCUUCCAGGCAGGUAUCACCCCUUUGCCUAUUCCUCUGCAGCUCUCCUUCCAGGCAGGUAUCGUCCCCUCUGCCUAUUCUGCUGCAGCCCUCCUUCCAGCCAGGUAUCGUCCCCUCUGCCUAUUCCGCUGCAGCCCUCCUUCCAGGCAGGUAUCGUCCCCUCUGCCUAUUCCUCUGCAGCUCUCCUUCCAGGCAGGUAUCGUCCCCUCUGCCUAUUCCGCUGCAGCCCUUCUUCCAGGCAGGUAUCGUCCCCUCUGCCUAUUCCUCUGUAGCUUUCCUUCCAGGCAGGUAUCGUCCCCUCUGCCUAUUCCUCUGCAGCUCUCCUUCCAGGCAGGUAUCGUCCCCUCUGCCUAUUCCUCUGCAGCUCUCCUUCCAGGCAGGUAUCGUCCCCUCUGCCUAUUCCUCUGCAGCUCUCCUUCCAGGCAGGUAUCGUCCCCUCUGCCUAUUCUGCUGCAGCCCUCCUUCCAGCCAGGUAUCGUCCCCUCUGCCUAUUCCUCUGCAGCCCUCCUUCCAGCCAGGUAUCAUCCCCUCUGCCUAUUCCUCUGCAGCUCUCUUUCCAGGCAGGUAUCGUCCCCUCUGCCUGUUCCUCUGCAGCCCUCCUUCCAGCCAGGUAUCAUCCCCUCUGCCUAUUCCUCUGCAGCCCUCCUUCCAGGCAGGUAUCAUCCCUCUGCCUAUUCCGCUGCAGCUCUCCUUCCAGGCAGGUAUCACCCCUCUGCCUAUUCCUCUGCAGCUUUCCUUCCAGGCAGGUAUCGUCCCCUCUGCAGGCUAUUCCUCUGCAGCUCUCCUUCCAGGCAGGUAUCGUCCCCUCUGCCUAUUCCUCUGCAGCUCUCCUUCCAGGCAGGUAUCACCCCUUUGCCUAUUCCUCUGCAGCUCUCCUUCCAGGCAGGUAUCGUCCCCUCUGCCUAGUCCGCUGCAGCCCUCCUUCCAGCCAGGUAUCGUCCCCUCUGCCUAUUCCUCUGCAGCCCUCCUUCCAGGCAGGUAUCGUCCCCUCUGCCUAUUCCUCUGCAGCCCUCCUUCCAGACAGGUAUCGUCCCCUCUGCCUAUUCCUCUGCAGCUCUUCUUCCAGGCAGGUAUCGUCCCCUCUGCCUAUUCCUCUGCCGCUUUCCUUCCAGGCAGGUAUCGUCCCCUCUGUCUAUUCCUCUGCAGCUCUCCUUCCAGCCAGGUAUCGUCCCCUCUGCCUAUUCCUCUGCAGCCCUCCUUCCAGCCAGGUAUCGUCCCCUCUGCCUAUUCCUCUGCAGCUCUCCUUCCAGGCAGAUAUCGUCCCCUUUGCCUAUUCCUCUGCAGCUUUUCUUCCAGGCAUCGUCCCCUCUGCAUCUAUGGCCCUGGGAUAUAUGGCAUUUGAAAACAAUAUUUGUUCCCUGUGACAAAACUGGAGAUUGUGCACAAAUAUGACUAUUGUCCAUAUUUUUUAUGAUUCCCUUUGUUUGUUGCACUGUUCCCUGUGUGUUUCAUCUGUUGGUUCGGCUGGAAAGACUACCAGACAAACUGUGGAGUUACUGGGUGGCCACCAUUUCAUGUAUCAGAGACACAUGGUGAGAACAAUGGAUGAAGCACAUGGUGAGAACAAUGGAUGGCGGCCAUUUUAACUCACAGACACUGUUUGAACUUUUGUACACGGUACCAUCUCGCCGGUAUUUGGUGCACAAAGACAUCGUUCAGUAGUUUUAAACUACAGAACAGGGGACACAUUAUACAGUAAUUAUUUUUCAUGUAGCCUGUAUAUGUUCUGCGGAAUCUGCAUUAAACCGUAUCUUCCAAACUACUGAACGGAUCUGGGGGAAUUUUGGAUAUGUGGUUCACCCAGAUCCCCCGGUUCCGAGGAUAUAUUUAUGGGGUUAUUGCAUGUUUUUGGGUCCCUGUGAUAUGUUUUAUAAUACUGUAUUUUCCUGCCUGUAAUAAUUAAGUUAGUCUAUUGUGUUGAGAUAAUUGUAUCACAGGCAGAGGGGAGGAUUUCUGAUGUAAUGAAUGGGAGUGUUAGCUGUAUUGUAAUGUGUUGAUUGGUUGUUCUGCAAAACCCUGUGGUCAGUUCUAAUUCACCCUCAAUUUGGAGUGCCGUCUCUUAUUGGGGGAAUCUGCUACAAGGGAUUGCUAUGCUCUGCAUACUCUCUUGCUAUAUUCACUGCUAUCUCUUGUAAGAACUUGUUCCUGUCUUGCUCUCUGAAGGAGUCUACGGUGGUUAUGGUGUCGGCUGGAGUGCAUGGAGCCCUCAGGAAGCGCUAGGAGCAUCCUUCAAUGGAAGUACCCAGUCGGGGUGCCAGGUGAUCUGUUACAACCAGUCCUAGCUCUCUUGCUUUAUCCUAGGGCGAGAGGGAUCCUGCAACCAGCAAACAGGUCCGAAGACUGUCACUGGAAUCCCUACAAAAUCCACACAUAAACAUUGCUGUGACAACUCAGUAAAAAUACAGUCAAAUCAUAGCAGACAACAUACAGCAACUUAUAACACAAUGACAUAUUUAUAAAGGGGUGGGGAAGACAGUAAUUAACAGAAAAUCUCUCUCCUGCCUGCAGAAUUAGCAAUAUGCAAAUCUACCAAAAUAUGCAAAUUAACCAGCCUUGCCACUCAGGUAGUGCAUAGAAACCUAGAAUGUGACGGCAGAUAAGAACCAUUCGGCCCAUCUAGUCUGCCCAAUUUUCGAAAUACUUUUAAUUAGUGCCUGGCCUUAUCUUAUAGUUAGGAUAGCCUUAUGGCUAUCCCACGCAUCCUUAAAGGGACUCUCCAGUGCCAGGAAAACAAACUCGUUUUCCUGGCACUGUAGGUCCCCUCUCCCUCCUACCUCCCAUCCCAAGUUGCUGAAGGGGUUAAAACUCCUUCAGUGAUUUAACUGUAUCCUGUGAGGAUAUUUAUGGGCUGAUAAAUAUUAAAAAUAAUAUUUUCAUAAAAAUGAUCAAAAAAAUAUUUAAUCAUUUUUAUUAUAUCAAAAAUUGAUAUCUUGGCACUGUUUCACCGAUUAAUGAUUUAAAGCUGAGAAUUACCCACUAUUUUAAUUCUUAGAUCCUAGAGGAAGUUUCACUAGAAGAUUUAACUACACACAGUACUCACAAAUUAAUUGUAAAAAUAUAAUUUAUUGUGACAAUAAUAAUAAAAAUAAUAAUAAUAUGUAACAUGCGUGACAAUCAGUGAAUAUUUAGGUAUAACUUUAGUAUACAAUAUGGCAGUGGUUUAACACAAUAUAGACAGUUAUAUAUGCAACAGUUGUCAAGAAUAUUUAUGACAAGACACUCCUUUGAAAUCAACAUAACACGGAAUACAGCAUCUAAUAGCUUUUCACAGCAGCAGUGCAGCAUAAAGCAGUAAAAACUUUGGCUGACAGUCAAAUCACACUGAAUUAACUCUUUCACUCGUAGGCAAGAUAUCGUAUUAUAUUGCAAUUUUUACAGCUACAAUAUUCUCAUAUCGGAUCAUUCACCACUCCUAGGACCAUCCAAUAAGAAUAAUUCUAACUAGAUUUUACAUUUGCAGAAUAUCAGAAAAAGUCAAUACCUCUGGAUAAAAAUUGUGUGUGCUAACAUUUGGCAAAUUUAGCGUUAAUAAAUCGUUAUCUUUAUUCCACCUGCAGGAGUGGAAUUUGUAAAACCAUAUAUUCCUUAGCUAAUUAUGAUUUCUAAUAAUUGAAAUCUGACCAAGAUUUAUCCAGAUAUAUAUUCCUGCUAUUAGUAAAAAGUAUGAUGAGAGAAUUGUAUGAGUUCUGAAGUUAUGUUAGUUGGAAAAGUAUAAAGAGUUAGGUGUGUCUCAGAGCGUCUUAGACUGUCCAAUAGUCAGAAUGCGGAGAGUCAAAAAUGGGUCGCAAGAAAAUACUGAGAAUGGGCAGCAGCUGAAAUAGCCUGCCCUUCGGUCGUUACCCGCUCAGUUCUCAAGCUGAUUUUUGCUCAUCUUGUGCCAUUACAGAGAGAACAUAUCUGAAGCAUAUCAGACUGGUCCCACCCAUACAGGCAGUUCAGAUCCAAAAUGCCAGCAAGUUCUCUCUGCACGAGAGAUACAGCAACCCCAGACAAUCGUUUCAGCCUUGUUAGGCAUCAUCAGUGAGGCAUAGCUGAUAUCUCCCUAGGCACCGUGAGCAAGGGGUCCACGUCUGGAUUAUCCCUUUAAACUUGUGGAGAGUCAAAAAUGGGUCGCAAGAGAAUACUGAGAAAUAGUCAGUAUGUGUAAGUACCAGAGAGUGUUUCAGAGCGUCUCCUCUCUUCCCUUUGUCCUUAAUUUUUAAAGGACUAGUUACGCUAUACGUCACUAGUUGAUAGGACCAAUAGAGAACUGUGGACAUGUCUUCCCUACUGACUAUCAUCUAGAAUUUGGUCAGUAGAUGGCACAAUUACAUCACCAAAAAUUCUUGUCAGGGGGUCCGUUUACCUUUUUGUAUAAUGACUUCACUGAAUUUUGUGAUGUUUGAUGUAAUUUGGUUAUCUUUUUAUAGCUACUGUUCGUCAAAGAAGCUGUCAUCUUCAAAGCGUUUGGUUCACUCUUAUCGAGACUUGGUGUAUACCUUUAAAUUUAUUUUCCUGACAUGUCUAAACUCUUCUUCAUCUUUUCUUACAAUGGAACUUUGUAAUAUUCUGUUAGGUUGUUUUUUUUUGUUUUUUUUUUUAGAAAGUAAAAUUAAUUACUUAGUGUUAUCUGUUAUUUGGUGUCUGUGUGGUUUUCUUGUUUGAAACUGUAGUUAAGAUUACACAUAUUCCACUAACAUUAGUAAAUAAUAUGAUAUUAUAUCCAUGAAUGUUUUAUAUUAUUAACUUAGUACUAUUUAUAUAUGAUUAAUAUAAUAUAGUAACACUACUGAAGUAAGGCUGACUGGCCUAUAGUUGCCCGACUCCUCCCUAUUACUUUUCUUGUGAAUGGGCACAACAUUCACUAACUUCCAAUCGUCUGGGACUACUCCUCUUAACAAUGAUUGGUUAAAUAAACCUGUCAAUGGUUUUGCAACUAAGCUCUUUUUUAUUUAUCUUUUUAUUUAACAUUUUAUUUAGCAAAUGAUGCACACUGGCAAAUUGUACUUUGCAGAAAUAACAAUUCCAAGCAUUUUUGUCAGGUACAAUUCCUGCUAGUGAUGACAUCUGUAUGUUAUCAUGGACACUUUGCACACAUUCAUACUGUCAAAUUGAGUAGAUAACAUAUUGCUUUUUACCGACAUUGCAUAUUUCAGACAUUCAAUACGCGGAGCAUUGUGUACAAAAUUUUAGUUUAGUAGUGAGGUGGGUGGAUUAACAACAGGUGGUUGGGCCGGUGUGGGGGGGGGGAGGGAAGAUUCCCCUGUGUAUAACAGAUUUACCAUCCAAACUUCUUGUUUCAACUCAAUGCCGUUUGCAUCUGUGCAAAUGGGUACACGCUCUCUUGUGUAUGUUCAGGGAGUCAGCCUUUGUUGGUGUAUUCCAUCAGGUCCCAUUGAUUUAUUUGGCCUUACGUUUGACAGUUGAACUAGAACCUCUUCCUCUGUAAACUCAUAUGUAACAAAUGCCUCACUUGUCCUUUUUCCUUACUGAGGCCCCUUUCCUUCAUUUUCAUCUGUAAAUACUGAACAAAAAUAUUCAUUGAGGCAGUCAGCUAGACCUUUAUCCUCUUUGUAACGAAUACCCUAUUCAUGGAUAACAAUAUUAUUACUGGUUUGCACUUUUGCUACGAUAUGCUGCACCUAUAUUCCAUACAAAUGUUUAAACGAACAAACUGUGCCUAAUUUGUUCGUUUACCGAACAGUUUGCUGAAUGUUAGACGACCCAAGCCAGUUGUGUGCCGCCAAUUGACUCAUUUGACUCUAUGCAAAACCGCAACCUCAAUGUUCUAAGUGGUUCACUGGGUGGCAAUUGAUUCGUAUGCAUUAACCCGUUGAGGCGGCCAUCUUGUUUUGUCGAACGCGUCCAGCAGGGUUUGGUCGUUGAGUGUCUGGAACUAAUUUCGCACUCUCGAUCUCCCGAACACCGCUGAGACUUCCAGGGACACUUAAAUUCAUUAUAAUCCAUCCGAAGAAGGCGGCAAUUGACAGAAAUUGUAUAUGAAUGAAGCGGCACAUGACCAUCAAAUGAACGAUUUAUGUGAACUAUCAUUCGACAUUUUGGUACUGCGCGAAAGAGCCUGGCCGCACUAGCUGAACGCAUGGAAGUAUUUUGGGCAGGUGCCUUGUGUGCGGCCGUGCAGAAAUGGAACUUCCAGCUAUCUCCCGAACCCCUGAACCGAUUCGUAUAAUUUUUUGAUAUAUUGUUCCCCUGACUAUGGACUAUCAGAAUAUGUGUGUUUUGUGGGGGUUGGAUAUGGUUCUGGGGUGUUUCUGAAAACGUGGAAUUUUUUUUAUUUUUUCGUUUGGAGAUAAUUGAGUUGAUACAGUAAUUAACUCAAUUAUCUCCUAAGCAGAGGGGAGGAAUUUUAUGUAAUAAUUGGGAGUGUUUGGUUAUGUGACUCUAUUUUUAUUGGCUGUUAACUGUAUUUCCCUGUGCCCCACAAGGUCUACCUGGGUGGUAAUCUUGUGGGAAAAGUUGCAUAAAAGGCCAGCCUGGCCCAUUAAAGCUUCAGAUCUGCUUAACCUUCAAUACAUAGCCGUGUCUCGUGUUUGUAGGGAACCUGCUUCAGAGCUAAUCACUAGCUCUUGUAAGAGCUCUAUUACCCCUUCACUACUGGUUCGGCUGAGGUGGCAUCUGGAGAAUAUUGCAGCACAGCUUCUCUCAAGGGAAUAGGAUGUCUCCAACAGCAUACACCCCUAUGAUACUCUGGCUAGCCGUUACACUCUUCUACAUGCCUUCUUUCUUUUGUUUUUAAUCUAACUAAUCCUUGUUUUACUUUCCUUUCUCAUUUAUGUAUCUAAAAAAAAUGGCUUUUUUUACUGACUGUACUAUUUUUCUCUUCUGUGUGUAAAUUUGGAAGCUCUGAUAACUUGCUUAGCCUCUUUCUGCCUAAUCUUAUAGAUCUGUCUAUCUUCCUUCCUCUGGUUUUUUUUUAUAAUUACUAAAUGCUAACUUUUUGUUUUUUACUAUUUUGGCCACAUCUGUGGAGUACCAUAGUGGUUUCUCAAUUUUUUUGCUUUUACUGACAAACCUAACACAGUUUUCUGUUGCCUUCAGUAGUGCAAUGUUUAAAUAAUCCCACUUCUCAGGGACUUUAUUUAAUCUGCUCCAGUCUGAUAAUGACUCCUUUACACACAUUCUAAUUCAAGAAAAAUCUGUUUUUAUAGUUUAAAACUUUUGUUUUUGUGUGGUGUGACUCAUUCACUGUUCUUAUAUUAAACCACACUGACUGAUGAUCACUGGAUCCUAAAUGUUCACCUACAGUAAUAUCUAAUACCAAAUCUUCAUUUGUUAACACUGAAUCUAGUAUGGCCUCUUUACGAGUUGACUCCUCAAUGACUUGUUUUAGAGACAAUCCCAGUAGGGAGUUUAGAAUAUGUGUGCUCCUGGCACAAGCAGCUAUUUUGGUUUUCCAGUUCACAUCAGGAAGAUUAAAGUCACCCAUGAUGAUAACUUCCCCCUUCAUUGUCAUUUUAGCUAUUUCCUCAACUAGUAGAUUAUUGUUUGUGGUUUAAAUUCAGUAGACAGCAAUGUUUUCUCUCAGGUAUGAAGACAAGGAAUGGACACAGCAGAAAUAUGAGCGUGGAGGGCAGUACUUGUCCACACAAAUGUAUGGCUGAAUAUUGCUCCUGAUUUAAUGGGAGAAGACACAGAUCUUAGAUCCAAUUCUUUACAUAUCCAAAAAGGGGUUGUCUUCACACAAUACAUUAGGUUUUACAUAUGGUCAUGUCCAGUGAAAUGCAUCUUCAAAGAACUUAUAACACACCUGGCAUUAGCUUUUGAAAAGAUGUUACUUGAUUAAACAAACACUUUCCAACAGUCAUAAAGAUAAGGUGUUAACAAGAUAUAGGGGGCUGGGGGGAACAAGAAGAAGGUAAAAUCAGGACAAAGACAGCGUAGGUUGAAACGUUGUGAUGGAGUGGGCUCAAUAAAAUUGCCUGGUUUGUACCUCGGAGUGCCUGGACUUUUCUUCUAUUUUUGUUAUUCAGCAUUUGGUCUCUGGUACUGAGACUGUCCGAGUUGCACCCAGCUACAUACUACUUAAAGGGACAGAGUGCAGUUCCACACCCUACCAUAACUACUUCAUAAUAGAGCAUCCUGACAUUACUCAAUCCUUGUGUGAUACAUGAUAUAAGGGGAAAGGUGGUCAUUAACCCUUAUCAUUCCAAUCUUUUAUUCUGAAAGAAUAAUGUAACGGAGCUACCUGUACUCCGACCGAGUACCCUCCGUUGAUGGAUGCUCCUAGCGCUUCCUGAGGACUCCAAACACUGCAGCAGACACCACAACCACCGCAGACUACACAACCGCCGUAGCUUAACUGGAGUCUCGCCGUCUUCCUUCCACCCUGGAUCAGCUUCUGUCCUCCAAGACCGUGUGGGGAAGACCUCUCCUCCAGGAGAGCGUAACAGGAACAGCUCUUAAAAGAGCUAAGUGAUUAAAAGCUCAGGGGAAUAUGCAGAGCAUAGCAAUCCCCAGUGUGAUAUAGCAGUUCCCUCCAAUAACGAGACAAGGCUACGUAUUGAGGGUCAAGAAGAUCUGUUUACUUGGCACCAAAGGGCCUUCUUUUAUGCAGGUUUAACACAUACAGGACCGCCCACAGGGGUUUACAGAACAACCAAUCAUAAACGUACAUUACAGAAAACACUCCCAGCAAUUACACACAAAAAUCCUACCCUCUGCCUGUGAUCUAAUUAUGGCACACAAUGCUUAACAUAAUUAUCACAAGCAGGAAAAAUACAGUUUUUAUACAUGUACUAUAACUUUAAAACUACACAUCCAAUCUUCAUAAAUUACAUAUUUGGAAUCAGCACACUUUAAACAUAAACAUAACCAAAAAUUAGCCAAAUCCAUCCAGGGGUUAAAAAGUUAGCUGGAGGUCCCUUUAUGACCGACCGCAAGCACAUUUUCCUGCCCAAAACAGUUCCAUAGAUUUGGGCUGUGCGGUCGGUCUAUUUCAGGCUGAAAAAACGACUAAGUCCCAUCGCCGGUUGGGACUUAGUCUCUGCAGCUGUAAAAUCAUUGUGGGAGAAGGUAGGGCUCAGCGGUGUUCGCGGAAAUGUGUAGCCGAUUUUAGUUCCAUGAAUUUGGCUACACAUACCGCUGACCUCGUUCGCAUUAACAAAGAUGGCCGCCGCCACGUGUUCAGCAAACGAACAAAGGCCACCCAGCAUUGUCAAUUAAGCUGCGGUUAACCGCAGCUUCUGGGAGGUAAAUUGCCUGCACACUUCCACUUCUGGGUGGUCUGCCUGUGUGGUACUUGGUUCAGUAAGCCCCAUUUACUGAACCAAGUGGGAAAUAGCCAGGCACAAAGGGCUUUAACCAGGUCUGGGGACACAGGGCACAGCGUCUUAAAGGGGCAGUGUCCCAAACAAGUCUGGGGACACCGUCUUAAAGGGGCAGUGUCCCAAUCUUCCUGAUGUCCCAAAAAGGUGUUUAAAGGGCCAGCACCGGUCCCAUAAAGAGUCCAUAAGCCACAAUAUGCCCACUGCCUGUCUUAAAGGGCCAUACACACCCAAUAAAAGUGCAUAAGUUCCCACAAUCUCCCAGGGGCCAUAGUCAUGUGGAAGGAGGUUUGCAAAUAGGCUUCUCCACAACCCAGGGAAGCAGGGCAAUUUGCCAUUUAAAGGCCCAGUUACAAAUAGCAGUUUGUAACAAAUAACAUAUCAUUAAAUUAAUUAAUUGUCUAUUAUAGCAAUCAGGGAAGAAAAAAAAGUCAGAACAAUUAUUUCUGAAGAAAAUCUCUGGGGAGCCAUGGCUAUAAUUCGUCCUCCCUCCUGGACGAAUUAAGUUUAAAUGAACAAUUUAGUUGAAUUUAGAGCUUGGUAUAAAUUCUUUGCAGUUCUCAUAACAUGAUUGUGUUUCCCCAUGAUGAAGGGUAUGAAGCCCGCUUAGAGUGUGAUAUAUUAAUAACAUAUUUUACUAUCACUGUUCUUUGGGACCAAAUAAUAUUUAUCAGCGCAUAACCAAGUCCCAUGGAAAGAACAAUAAUUAUUGUUCAUUCUGAACCAAAGUCUGAGGUUGAUCAUUCUUUGUUUUGACUAUCAGGAGGGCUUGAUGUGGGACAUCUUUUUAAUCGGCUUGCAUGAAUCCAUAUCUGGUUCUCCUCGGUCAGAACGGCUGUUUGGGUGAUGGCAACAACGUUUGUCAGAGGGCCAUACGGUGGAUCAAAGGUUCCGGAUUUGAAGAGGGACUUCACCAAGACUUGGUCUCCAGGCCUAAAAGGAUUUGUGGUAGUACCUGCAGGAUGAGGAAGAGAUAGAGACACAUCACCAUAGAAUGUGGUUCAAAGAGUAUGAAUGUCCCAAAGAGCUGAAUCUCUCAAAGAGCCGAAUGUUUGAAUCUUUUUUUUUUUUUUCUGAAUCCCUUUGUGCACGUCAUUAAUGAUAGGACCAAUAGGGAACUGUAGGUGGGUCUUCCCUACAGACUAUCAUCUAGAUUUUGGUCAGUAGAUGGCGCAAUUACAUCACCAAAAUAUCUUGUCAGGGGGUCCCUUUGCCUUUUUGCAUAAUGGGUAAUCUGAAAUUGGUGAUGCGUUUUACGUCAUUUACAGCUAUCUUUAUGUCUACUAUAAAUCUAAAUUCCUGCCAAUUUCAAAGGUUUUGUUUCACUCUCACCCAGACUUAAUGUCUGGCAUGUACCUGUCACGUAUUCAUCCGCUUAUAAAAAUGUGGUUAAUGACAUUUACUGUCCACACAGGAAAAGUUGUGCCGAGCAGCAACCAAAUCCACAGAAGGGUUAAUGCUGAGUAGCUAUUAUGCAAAUGGGAACCUGGUAACUGUCUUUGGGGUCAAAGGCCAGUUACAGCCUAUCAGAUCUAGAGGAGGGGUAUUUAGAGCCAGUUUUCAUCCUGCUCAGUGCCCUGUCGUGGUUUCCCUUGUGGUUGUCUGAGAGCGUGUUAUUGAUUCUGGUAAUUCUGGUUAUUUGACUUUGGCAUUGUUUUUGACUUCAAUGUUUUCUGGCAUCCCUGAUUCCUGGCUUUUCCUUAUCGUUGUGUCUCUUUCUGUUUCCCUCGACCUCGGCUAUUCCUGACUAUUCUUUGGUACGUUAGUCUGGCCAUUCUAAGGUCCGGUAUACGUUACCUAUCAGUCCUCUGUGUUACACAAUUCUACGUGCUGGAUCAUUCUGUAAUCCUGACAAUACCUUUAAUACCUUUCUAUCUUUCUGACAUCAUGUCUAAACUCUCCUUCACCUCUUGCUUUCAAUGGAACUAGUGAUGUUCUGUUAAUUUUUUUUAAAUUUAAAUUUUAAUUUUUAGAAAGUACAAUUAAUUACUUAGUGUUAUCUGUCAUUGGUGUCUGGUUUUCCUGUGUGAAACUGUGUUUUAGAUUAUUUCUAUUCCACUAACAUUAUUAAAUAAUAUGAUAUUUCUUCAUUGAUAUUUAUCUAUGAAUAGUCAAUAUUAUUAACAUGAUACUAAUUAUAUAUGAUAAUAUAAUAGUAAUUUAUAAGUGGAUAGUGUGUAUAAGUAUAUACAAUUAUGUAUACAUUUGUCUCUGGGUUUGUAUUCCAUUCCCCCAUUUUUUUUCUGUGAGACCUCAUGCCUUAUCACUUGUCUUGUUUACAUAACGCAUUCCUUAGCUCAGACUUGGAUGAAUAGAGUGAUAGAAAGAAAUCUUGUGUCUGUCUUAGCCUUGUAGUACAAAAUAGAAUCACCUCUGUUCUGAGAGUGACUGGCAGUAUACACUUUUAAUUUCUGUCUUAAUACAAAAUGUCUACCGAUAUAAAUAUACUGACAGAUCAUUGAGGAUACCAGAAGCUGCAUCAGGUGUAAUAGAAUGUAUGCUCCAGUAAGCUAAGUCAUCUGAAUAUGCUGCAGCCUGUAUAAAAAGAAUAUCAAUAUCAUCAGUAUGAGGGGCUCUAUGCACUGCAGUUAAGAUCUGGUAACGAGAAAUAGUACUGUAAUUUGGCCAUAAGGGAAAAGAGGCACCAAAUCUGCAAAAUCAUUACCAUCCCUGACAAUUGAGUGAUCUGUAUCAUGGCCCUUGCACUUCACAAUAGCUAAAGAUCUAGGUAACCGUAUGGCCCUCAAUAAUCCAUCAAUUAAUGCAAAAUGAGAAACCGUUCGACCAUCAGCUGCAACAAAGCCUCUAGCCUGUCAAAUGACACCAAAAUAAUGAACCACUCCAAAGGCGUAUCUCGAAUCGGUAUUCUGGCCCAGACUUAAUAUCUGGCAUAUACCUUUAAAUCUAGCUUUCUGACAUGUCUAAACUCUCCUUCACCUCAUGCUUACAAUGGAACUAGUGAUUGGGGUUUGGAGGGAACUAUUUGCCAGCUUUUUACCCUGUGACGAUGGCCCCUUUAAUUUAUUGUGGAUGAGAGACUCUAUUUGUGGCUAUUGGGACUUUAAACAAUUGUUCUUCGAACUCCCGAACAGUUGAAGUGGCUGCCAUUCGACGUGGUGGCGGCCAUCUUGUUCACAUGGACCAAAACCACUAUUAGACUUCAGGGGGACUUAGCCGCGAAAGCCCUGGAACUAUUUUCGGCAUGAAAACCUUGUGGUUCACGGUCAGAAGACAUGAAUGGACUUUAUAUCAAGGAACCUAGCCAUAUCAUUCCUGAGUUCAUCCAUCUGCUGCGCUCAGAACUGGGCUACAUAAUGAACGCUGGAAUGGAAAAUAUGUCUGUUAAAGUAUUAAAGUUAUGUAAUUUUAUACAGUUUUAUGGGUUGUAAUAAAACGUGGGAUUUUGGGCACUUGGAGAUAAUUACAUUGUCCCAACCGUUGGACUCAUUAUCUCCAAGCUGGGUGGUAACAAUUUCAAAGGAUACAUUGUAUUACUAUUAGUCAACUGCUCAUAUUGUCACUGUAUCCCAUCAGGUCCAGAGGGGGCUGUCCCUGGAAUAGUGAUGCCUGUGUGCCAUUAAAGCCAGUUCGUUUUACCCUCAAUUCGCAGCCUCGACUCGUGGUGUAGGGAUCCGGGAAUCCUAGCUUUACUAUAGCUAGUGGGAUAUUCUACACUUACAGGUUUCUACUGUUUGAAGCAGAGUUCGACUCUCCACCUUCGGGAACCAGGACAUCAAAGCGAUCCAAACUCCUGCUAGACCGGAGGCAAUCGUAACAUGUUCCUAUCUUGUUAUAAAAAUGUUUUUUUGGGUUUUUUUUUAAAGUGCAGUACCUCUUGACUACCUGUACCAAAUGUUUAAUAUGAUAUGUAAUACUGAACAAGUCACUGUUUACGCCUGUACUAAGCUCUGCACUCAAAAAUAAAGAAUAAAAAAAAUUAAAAUCUGCCCUCCAAACUGUUGAUCCAUUGUUACUCUUUUUAAAUAAUUGGUGGCGCCUUCUGGAAGCUUAAAUGGAUCAGGACACUGAGUCCCAAGAGAGACCAACUGUGAUCCAGAAGGAGGCUUAAUUAUAACAGUCUCACCAGCAACUACAAAAGGAUAGGCAGAAGCAGACACAUGACUGGGAACUAGUACACCAUGACUCUUAUCACACUCAUCCGUCACUAUAACACUACCACUGCCUGGCAACAAAUUUCUAGCUUUGUCAGUAAUUCAUCUUUAGAUAUAGCAUGGGCCAGCAUCCGUAGAUUGUUCUAUUCCAGUGUAACAGCUAGAAUAGACUUACUUUUAUCAACAUUCUUAUUCCCUGCACCAACAUCCACAGACUUUUUAGUCACUUUCUCAUCUUUCAUACCAACAUCAACACUUUCUGCAGUGGAUCUCACCAUUGCAGAAGAAUUCACAACCAUCUGUCCAACAUGCCUGUUCCCUCUACCAAUCGCCAUUAAAAUUUCAUCAGUAUAAUCAUCCGAAUAAUCAUAUUUUAAUUCACUUAAACUAGGAUAUAAUGGUACAACAGAUGGUACAUAAGCAGGUGGUGCUGCAGAGGCCUGAACAUACUUUGUAGCCUGAUGAGGAAUAACCCAUAACUGAGCACACUUUAACCAUCCUGUAGCUGAAUUAUGCAUGUACUUCUUAUCCCAUUUUGGAUCUCUACCUGGACCCAACGUUUUAAUACACAUACCUUUCAGCAUUUGCAAAUGAAAAUCACAAAAAAAAAACCUCUCUUGGCCAUGGAUUACAAAUCAUUGUAUCACAAUUCUCUGACCAUUUAACUAAAUUUGUACAAAAUGGCUCAGCAUAGUAAUCUCCAAUAGUUUCUUGAACAAACUGGCAUGGAGUUUGGCCUAAUCGAGGACCCUGAGACUUAGGAGUAUGUGACGCAGCACUAUUAGGGACAUCUUUAGAUGAUUUACAUUUUACAGAAUUUUGUUGGGAAUUUUUACCGUUACUGGAGCCCAUUUCCAACUUCACACAGAUAACACUUUACAAUAUAUGAGACACUUUAUAUAUGAGCAACGCACAAUUUUAAACAAUACAACUAUACAUGCAGCGCUGCAAUAAUAAAAAUAAAGAAAGGAAGGAGGCGCCACUACAAACCACAUAAAUGAAAAGAGCAUAGAAUAGUCAGACUAAAAUGCAAUAUAUAUAAUAGAUAAUAAGCAAAUAGAAGUCCAGAAUAAAAAGUCUGACUGGUAGAUGGAUCAAACAACGAGGUAUAUCUUUGUAGAGGUGAAUACAGUCUUUAGUAGUGGAGGAUUCUUCAGAGUGGUGUAGAUGCGUCUUUGUACAUCAUAUGAAAUAAAAAAAAUAACAACUGAUGGUAUAGUACAGGGCUAGGCAGCCUACAGCAAUAGUACCAUGCACGGCACUCGAGGUGCCUUUGCACGGCACUCAAGGCUGCUAGAGCUAAACAGGCACCAGCCUAUCAGGAGUCCCAGUAAAACUUCAGAUAUCUGCUAAUACGAAGAGGUUGUGAAGGACUAUCCUCAAUUUAUGCAUUGAAGCACGUAGAGGAAGUGAUCUCAGAGCACUUCAUUCCAGCACUUGUGAAUGGGAAUCCACACUGUAGUAGAGCAGCUCGCAGUUGUUGUUGCAGCUCCUGUCCUUGACCUGUACCUGGCCGGCCUGUUCCUCACUGGAACCCAGGGAAGCCACCCACACUGCUAGAUGUACACAGAAAUGUAGAAAGAUCCUCCCUUCAUACAAAUAAUACGGACAGCCCACACACAAACAUACACACAAUCCGCACAAACGCAACACCACUAACAAUCCACAUACAUGCACACAACCCCACAUGCAUCCUCUCACAUGCAAUACCCCAAACAGCCCCCACACAUACACACACUACCAAACACACAAUGUGACACAUCCAUCCACACACACAAUUCCACAAGCUGCCCCCAUACACAGCCCACAUAUCAUACACGAUACCACAAACUACUCAUGAACAUAUACAAUAUAAUAGCUCAUAUACACACAAAUACAACGAUACAAAGCAAUUACAGUAUAAAUAACACAAGCAGAAUACGGCAGCAUACACACCUCAAUUAAAAAAAAAAAAUAGGACCGGCACGCUACGGGACAUCACAAUCCUAUAUCGGCACAGUGCUGCUAAAAGGUUGCCUACCCCUGGUAUAGUAUGUCCCGAAAGUUUAUCCCUCUGUGUCCAAACUGUGUAUCCAAUAUAGUUACUAAAUUUGGUCACUCAGUGGGACUGCUAUACCCACUAUAUACAACAAUAUGGAACUCUUACCCAUGAAAAUAUCCAUGUUUCUCUCUUAUACAACUCAACAUGGGACUCUAACCCAUGACAUAAUAACAACCUAACAUAGGACUCUACCCAUGACAUAAUAACAACUUAACAUGGGACUCUACACAUGAUAUAAUAAGAACUUGGGACUCUAACCCAUGACAUAAUAACAACUUAACAUGGGACUCUAACCCAUGACAUAAUAAGAACUUAACAUGGGACUCUACCCAUGACAUAAUAACAAUAUAACAUGGGACUCUAUCCCAUGACAUAAUAACAAGUUAACAUGGGACUCUACCCCAUGACAUAAUAACAAGUUAACAUGGGACUCUACCCCAUGACAUAAUAACAAGUUAACAUGGGACUCUAACCCAUGACAUAAUAACAAGUUAACAUGGGACUCUAGCCCAUGACAUAAUAACAACUUAACAUGGGACUCUAACCCAUGACAUAAUAACAAGUUAACAUGGGACUCUAGCCCAUGACAUAAUAACAACUUAACAUGGGACUCUAGCCCAUGACAUAAUAACAACUUAACAUGGGACUCUAGCCCAUGACAUAAUAACAACUUAACAUGGGACUCUACCCCAUGACAUAAUAACAACUUAACAUGGGACUCUACCCCAUGACAUAAUAAGAACUUAACAUGGGACUCUAACCUAUGACAUAAUAAGAACUUAACAUGGGACUCUACCCAUGACAUAAUAAAAAUUUAACAUGGGACUCUACCCAUGACAUAAUAACUUAACAUGGGACUCUAACUCAUGACAUAAUAAGAACUUAACAUGGGACUCUACCCAUGACAUAAUAACAACUUAACAUGGGACUCUAACCCAUGACAUAAUAACAACUUAACAUGGGACUCAUGACAUAAUAAAUAAUGCUGUAAUAAAAUAUAUUUUGUAAAAUAUUAUAAUGCACAGUUACUUGUAGACUCAAACCCAUUUAACAUCAAAGAGUACAACAAAAACAAAAAGAAAAGCAAAUAAAAAAACAUUACUUUUCUGCAACCACAAAAAAAUAGUUCAGAGAAUCCAAACAGGGCAAAGAACACAAAAAUGAAACACAAAACGUUCCUACCCGAUUUGGAUUCUCUAUCCCACUUCUGACACCAUAUUGUUGUGGUUUAAAUUCAGCAGACAGCAAUGUUUUCUCUCGGGUAUGAAGACAAGGAAUGGACACAGCAGAAAUACGAGCUCGGAGGGCAGUACUUGUCCACACAAAUGUAUGGCUGAAUAUUGCUCCUGAUUUAAUGGGAGAAGACACAGAUCUUAGAUCCAAUUCUGUACAUAUCCAAAAAGGGGUUGUCUUCACACAAUACAUUAGGUUUUACAUAUGGUCAUGUCCAGUGAAAUGCAUCUUCAAAGAACUUAUAACACCUGGCAUUAGCUGGUUAAAAGAUGUUACUUGAUUAAACAAACACUCUCCAAUAGUCAUAAAGAUAAGGUGUUAACAAGAUAUAGGGGGUGGGGGGAACAAGAAGAAGAUACAAAUCAGGAUCAAAGGCCAAUUGUUAUAAUAGAGCAUCCUGACAUUACUCAAUCAUUGUGUGACACAGGAUAUAAGGGGAAAGGGUGCUCAUUAAUCCAUAUCAUUAUCCAACUCUUCAAUUUGUCCUGGGGGCCUAUAAAUCACACCUACACGAGUUACUGUGUGAUUACCAAAUUCUAACGUAACCCAAACGGACUCUGUUCGCCUCACUAACUUUUAUUAGGCUAGAUUUUAUGCUAUCCUUCACAUACAAGGCCACACCACCCCCUUUCUUGCCUUCCCUGUCUUUCCUAUAUAAAGAGUACCCUGGUAUUGCUAUGUCCCAGUCAUUUUUCUCAUUAUACCAUGUCUCAGUAACAGCAACUAAAUCUACACUAUCAGUUGCCAUUAUUGCCACAAGUUCAUGGAUCUUAUUCCCUAAACUGUGAGCAUUUGUAGACAUGACUCUAAGCUUAUCUUUUUUUAACACACGUGCUACAGGCACCUUCUGUCCUUGUUUUGGGGGACAAUUGGACUGAUGUUUUAUCACCCUUUUGCCCCCCCCCUCCUAGUUUAAAUAUAUCCUAGCAAAACACUUUGAACUGCUCACUGAGAACAUUUGUUCCAUUUUGAGAAAGAUACAAACCAUCUUUUUUGUACAGCUUAUCUCCAUUCCAAACAGAGCAAUAAAGCCAAAUCCUUGCUCCCGACACCAUUCACCAAGCCACAAAUUAAAGUCCCUAAUACGCAUCCGCCUGUCGUUCUGAGUGUCAUGCACAGGCAGAACUUCAGAGAAUGACAGUGUGGAAGCAACCUGCCGUAUAUCAUUGGCAAACACACUAAAAACGUCCUUUACCUCUGAAACCUCAUUGCAAGUCAAGUUAUUUGUCCCUAGAUGGACAAGUACAUCCAAUUCCCCUUCCUGCUUUGUUUGCUUAACAAUAUUACAAAUAUGUCUCCUGUCUCUGUGAGCAGUAGCUCCGGGAAGACAUCUCACAAGACCACCAUUGUCCAUCUCCACACCUCUUAUGAUAGAAUCCCCCAACAACAACUGCUUUCUCUUAGGCCUCACCAUAGUCUCCAAGCCUGUCUCCAUAAUACCACUACACUCAGUGCCUGAGCCUGUAUCCAUAAUACCACUACACUCAGUGCCUGAGCUUGUCUCCAUAACACCACUACACUCAGUGCCUGAGCCUGUCUCCAUAACACCACUACACUCGGUGGCUGAGCCUGUCUCAACAACACCAUACACCUGGUACCUGAGCCUGUCCCCACAACACCACUACACUCAGUGCCUGAGCCUGUCACCACAACACCACUACAUACUGUGCCUGAACUUGUCUCCACAACACCACUACACUCAUUGCCUGUUAGGAUUACUGUAGAUGCCCAACACGCAGAACUUAAGUAGAUAAUAAGAAAAUACCUAAGACGUAUUACCGGGCCUUACAAUGCCUUGAACGUAUAAAGGCAAAAAAACACAAGACAGGGUAAAGACAAGAAAUAUAGUAAACGAUGAACAAGCCACGGGUCAGGGAAUGGAGAAAUCAGAAUAGUCAGGAGCCAAGCCAAAGGUCAAAGAAUACAGCGAUCGGAUAGUCAAAAAGGAAAGCCAAGGUCAAAUACACAAGAAUCAAUACAAGGAACGUGCUCUUAGCACCGAGAAUGGACAAAACAGGCUUAUAUAGUCUAAAGUGCUUCCUGAUUGGCUGCAGGGAAGCAUGUGAUCAUGGGCGUGUAUGUGAAACACCUUCAUGAGUAAUACUAACCUGGCCCUUUAAGGGUUAAGCAGGGAAACCCUUAUAUUCUUCAAAGCUGCAGCAGCCAGCGUCUCUAAUGUUGACAGAGCCAGCCGCUGUGAGAGGAGGAGGAGGAGUCACCACAAGGGGUGAGUGAUGGGCGGCAUUCCCACAACCACGUGGAAAUGCCACCGGACCGAGACGUGCCCGCCGGGUAUGAGCGGACUUGGCAGGUGGAGACCUGAGAGGUAGGAGAUCGACUGCAUUCCCCUUAGUGUGUGGGAAUGUCGCCGCAACAAUACGCGUCCUGGCGGGCAGUGUGACACUGAGAAUGUCUCCAUAACACCACUACACUCGGUGCCUGAGCCUGUAUCUACGACACCACUACCCUCAGUGCCUGAGCCUGUCUCCAUAACACCACUACACUUCGUGCCUGAGAAUGUCUCCAUAACACCACUACACUCGGUGCCGGAGCAUGUCUCCAUAACACCAUUACACUUUGUGCCUGAGAAUGUCUCCAUAACACCAUUACACUUUGUGCCUGAGAAUGUCUCCAUAACACCACUACACCUGGUGCCUGAGAAUGUCUCCAUAACACCACUACACCUGGUGUCUGAGAAUGUCUCCAUAACACCACUACACCUGGUGUCUGAGAAUGUCUCCAUAACACCACUACACUCGGUGCCUGAGCCUGUAUCUACGACACCACUACCCUCAGUGCCUGAGCCUGUCUCCAUAACACCACUACACUUCGUGUCUGAGCCUGUCUCCAUAACACUACUACACUUCGUACCUGAUAAUGUCUCCAUAACACCACUACACUCGGUGCCUGAGCCUGUCUCCAUAACACCACUACACUCUGAAAGUGCUGAAAAUGAAUUAUUUAUUAUGUAUGAGCAACAGACUGUGCAAUAUGCCUUUUAUCCACAACUCUACAAAGGCUACCAGAUCCUACAGCAAUCCAUCUGCCAUUCCUAGUACGUUUCUGCGGCAGUGGCUUUGCAACAAUUCCAGCCUGAGUUUUUUUACUGGAUAAUUACAAAUCUCAGACUUCAAAAAUACAAUCUCCUGCCGCAAUAUAGAGAACUGUCUACAGAUUAGACAGCAUCCAAAUCUCCAAAAAGUGGGAUGUGAAACAAAUGCACAGCGACUGUUACACUGAACUAAGUCUGACAUUUUAAUGAGGUGAGUAAUUUAAAUCAAACAAAUGUUAACCUUUUUUUGUACUCCUGUAUACCUCAGAUAACCCCCAGUUUAUCUCCAGAAUAUCUCCAAUCACACACUUUGAAGCAGCUACCAAGCUAUAGUAGCCAAGCUAAAAGAACUAAACUGGCUGUCGCUGGAAUCUAGACGCACCCUUCAUCUUUCCAGCCUUGUGUUUAAGAGCUUUUCUGGGAAACUCCCACCCUACCUGAGCAAAAUGCUCUCCUCAGCUGUUCCCACCUCCUAUCCAGUACCAGCACUUUAUUUAGUCUACCUCAACAGAAAAAAAAAGCAGUCCGAUCCUCCUUUUCCUACAGAGUUCCGCAAUUAUGGAACGACCUCCCACACAAUUUAAAAUCUUCCCCAACCCUAAAGUCCUUUAAGAGAUCCUUCUCUACAUACCUCAAAACAGAAUGCACCUGUCAUGGUUGAUUAUAUAUUUCCUGUACAGAUUGGAGAAUUCAGAAGAGGGUUGGUAAAAACCAGUCCACCUACAGAAAACUCCCUUAAGUGGAGCGCUAAACAAUACUUACCCCUAGAUAUUGGGGUGUAUCCCAAAUGAAGAUUGGAUAUACAAAGCAACAAGAAAAAUAAAAAUACAAUAGUGAAGUAUGUUAAUACUGGUAUAUAAAUCCUAAAAUAGUAAAAGCAAACUCACAAGUGCAGAGCCAAUUGAAGGACUGGCUCAAAAUCACAAACGUCUUGGUGUGCAUAAGGAGACACCUUCCCUCUUUGUGUUUUCUUUCUUAAAUGCUCGUAGAGAAAUAAAGGGAAGAUAUCUUUCUAGUGAAGUAUGUUAAGAUAAGAUAUAGAUACAGAUAAAAUAUUUGGGACUUUGGAACUUCGCCACUUCGGAAUUUCGGUAACUUAGGCACUUCGGAACUUCGGCAACUUCAGCACUUCAGAAUUUCGGAACUUCUCUUGCAGCCGCUUGGUAGAUAACUCCCUAAUGCCCACGGUAUUAGGGAGCUAUCUACCAAAAGGCUGAAAGACCUAAAUUGUUUUUUCAGACAAAUUUACUAAUACUAACUAAAGAUUACUUAGUAUUAGUAAAUUAUGCCCCUACUCGCUAUACCGCGAGUAUGGGCAUGUCUAGUAAACAGUGAGCAGCCUGUGGCUGCUCACUGUUAAAAAAUAAAAUAAAAAAACCUACUGCCCCCCCGGCCCACACCACUGAGCGGCGGGUGGGGGCCCUAAGGUAAAAUAAUGGAAGGGACCUAUUGUCCUCCCCCCUGCCCCCACCCCUGAGCAGUGGGUGGGGGCCCUAAAUUAGAAUAAGGGGGGGGGGAUCUAAUGUCCCCACCAGAUUAGAAUGAGGGGGGAGGACAUUAGGUCCUAUUGUCCUUCCCCCAGGCCCCCACCCCUGAGUGGUGGGUGGGGUUCCUAAAUACUAAUUGGGGGGGACCUAAUGUCCUCCCCCCUGACCCCACCCCUGAGCGAUGGGUGGGGGCCCUAAAUUAGAAUGAGGGGGGGGAGGACCUAAUGCCCACCCCUAAUUAAUAUUUAGGGCCCCCACCCACUGCUUAGGUCCCCCCUGUGACGAAGUGCCCUUCGCCACUUGGUCCUGGAGAGGCCUACUUGCCAGCCUCCUCCCCUGUGACUAUGACUCUUUCACGUUUCUGGCUUUAAAGACCCUAGUCUACCUUCAGACAGACUAUUUAUGUAGGCUGCUUUAUUUAUCUUAUGUUUUAGUCACCCUGUACCCAUUAUAGGUGCAGGGUGUAUGUAAUGUAAUUGUUUAUAGUGUGUGUGUACUGUGUAAUGUAUUGCCUGCUCUCUUGUACUGCUGAGGUUUGCUACCAACUAAGUGGGUUUGGCUAUGGAGCUUGUCUAGUGCCCUCUGUUGGUAGCAACAGCAAUAUGCACUACCUGAAUAGCAAGACUGGUUCAUUUGCAUAUUCGGGUAGAUUUACAUAUUGCUAAUUCUGCAGACACAUGAGAUAUUUUCUGUUAAAUAUUGUCUCCCCCACCCCUUUAAAAAUGUGCCAUUGUGUUGUGAUAAGUCACUGUGUGUUGCCUGCUAUGGUUUGACUGUUUGUGAUUUUAUUGAGUUUUCACAGCAAUGUUAAUGUUGUGACCCUAUGGGCUGGUCCCAAUGGAAAUAAAGGUUUAGACAGUUCUUCUUGAUUCCUCUAAAUGUAGCCUUGCCUCGUUAUUGGAAGAUGCUGUUAUAAUCACACUGGGGAUUGCUUUGCUCUGCAUACUCCCCUGAGCUUGAAUCACUUAGCUCUUUUAAGAGCUUGUUCCUGACACGCUCUCUUUGGAGGAGGGGUCUUCACCACACAGUCCUGGAUGCUUGAGGUUCAUACAGGGUGGAAGGAAGAGUUCUUUCCCACACAGUCCUGGAGGACAGAAGCUGAUCCAGGGUGGAAGGAAGACGGCGAGACUCCAGUCAAGACACAGCGGUUGCGGAGUCUGCGGUGGUUGUGGUGUCUGCUGCACUGCUUGGAGUCCUCAGGAAGCGCUAGGAGCAUCCGUCAACGGCGGGUACUCAGUUGGAGUACAAGGAGCUCCGUUACAUUGGUGGCAGCGGUGGGAUGGCGUCCUAGUGCGAGGAGAAGCAGCUCGGAGACACUGGUAUCGUAUGAGAGGUUAUUGAGGGCAACGCUAGCCACUGUGCAGCGUCCCUAACUACAGCAGCAUGGAGCAGGGAUGGAUAGAGCCCUGCGAAGAGCACCUCAACAUGAUACGUUGCUACGAGGACGAGGGGGAGGUAAAGAGGCGGUUGGUCUGCUAUGGCCCAGACCUUUCGAACGAGGUGGUCCACCAAGUAAUGCGCCAGUUGAGUGCUGAGAACAGUGCGGCAAUGGCCUUUGAGCAAAAACUGUGGAGGUUGAGGAUAUGGACACCUGGUCUCCAGCGGCAGUGCAAGUUACAGGGAGCCGAAGGUGUCGUCCUUCCUCCCCAGCGGCAGUGCAAGUUACAGGGAGCCGAAGGUGUCGUCCUUCCUCCCCAGCGGCAGUGCAAGUUACAGGGAGCCGAAGGUGUCGUCCUUCCUCCCCAGCGGCAGUGCGAAUUCCAGGGGGCCGAAGGUGUCGUCCUACAGGGAGCAGAGACAGUUGGUCUCUCUCUCCAGCAGCAGGACAAUGUUAUGGGAGUGGCAGCCUGUGUUUCAGGGAGAGGAGCACAGCACCCUAUCUCCCCAGCGGCAGCUUACCCUACCAAGGGGAGACACCAAUCUCCCAGAUGGCGCAGAUGGGACCGUGGUCUCUGUGCCCGACCUACAGGGAUGCUGGACAGCCUGUCCAGAUCCCCAACUACCCUCACAGGGACAACAGGAGGAGCGGGUAAGUACGAAUUCCCCUCCCCAGCUAACUCCUAACUUGGCCCCAGGGUUAACAGAGGAGAUGUUAACCCCCACUGACCUCCACAUUCCCCUGGCUACUGAGCCGGACUAUGUCCCAAGCCCCCCAGCGGAAGAGUUGGCAGCUGGGCAGAGUAGAGUCGGCCCCUGCCCUCCCUUUGUCCCUUGUCCAGAGCCUGUUGUCCUGCAAGCUAUACCAGCAGAAGAGCUGGCAUCAGGGCAGACCGCCGCUAGCCUCUGCCCUACCGAUCCCCUUGUCACAGGACUGGCCUGCACCCCCCUCCUCCCAGCAGAAGCGCUGGCAUCAGGGCAGAGCGCCGCUGGCCUCUGCCUCUCAAGUCCCCACAGCGUGUUGCCCCAUCACCCCAGAGGAAUACCCAGGUGCAGUCACUGUUUGCUGUGGGUGGGCUGCUCUAAUAACUGUUGUGGGUGGGCUACUCUGGCACUUGUUUAUGGUCGGUGGGUGACUCGACUAACUUAGGCACUGACCGACAGAAAGUCAGGUGCCUGGUUAGUCUUCCCCCCGAAGGGGAGAUAUGUGACGAAGUGCCCUUCGCCACUUGGUCCUGGAGAGGCCUACUUGCCAGCCUCCUCCCCUGUGACUAUGACUAAGUGUUGCAAAUGCUUACAGCUGAAUCCUGGCUAUGUUUGUAUACAUUUUUUCAUUUAAACUUGUAUACAGUGUAACAUUCUUCUUCUUCCACUGGGUAAGUAUAUUAGUACUUAGGCAAAACUGUGCUUCGGAACUUCGACACUUCGGAAAUUCGGUAAUUUCGGAACUUCAGGACCUCAGUAAUUUGGCUAUUCGGAAGUACCCGAAUGUCCGAAAUUUGUCCGAAUACAUAUUCGGCCCGAAACGAAUUGCACAUGUCUAGUGGCGAGAGAGACAUUGCCACUGUUUUUUGGAGGGGCUUGUUGGCUAGCCUCUUGCCCUGCGACUAUGGCCCUGUAGUGAACUCGGAACUACAAACACUGUUCGUGCCUUUUGUCCUGUUAUGGUGCAGUAUAUGGGGCUACCGAAUGGAUUAUGCUUAUGGUGUUCAUUUAUCGAACAAACUGACGAACAGCCGGACUACCCGCAAGUGAAGUGUGCAGCUUGUUAACCUCCCAGAAGCUGUGGUUAGCCGCAUCCUAAUUGUGUGCGGCUGGGUGUCGGCGUUCGUAUGAACGAACGUGUGGUGGCGGCCAUCUUAAACUGUCGAAUGGCUAGCAGUGUUUUGCUGUCGAACGCAUGGAACUACUUUAGGACACUAGUUCCAACGAACACUGCUGGGACUUCCAGACUUCCAGCAAUUUGUCUAUUUUCAUAAGAACGCAGUGGCGUUUGGUAUAUUUAUAUUAACCGGUGAUAUGCAUUUAGUAACUGAGGAAAUGUGUAUAAUACCCAGUGAAAUGAUUAUAGCAACCGGCUUAAUGUUUAUAGCAACCAGAGGUAUGUUUAUACCAACAGGAGUGUGUUUAUAGCAACCAGAUAUAUGUUUAUAGCAACCACACACAUGAUAAUAGCAAUAGGAGAUAUGUUUAUAUCAACCGGUGAUAUGGUUUUAGUAGCUGGAGAAAUGUGUAUAAUACCCAGUGAAAUCUUUAUAGCAACCGGCUUAAUGUAUAUGGCAACAGGACUGUGUUUAUAGCAACCAGAUUUAGGUUUAUAGCAACCAGAGACAUGAUAAUAGCAAUAGGAGAUAUGUUUAUAUUAACCGGUGAUAUGCAUUUAGUAAUUGAGGAAAUGUUUUUAACAUCUAGUGAAAUGUUUAUAGCAACCGACUUAAUGUUUAUAGCAACCAGAGGUGUGUUUAUAGCAAUAGGAGAUAUGUUUAUAGCAACCAGACACAUGAUAAUAGCAAUAGGAGAUAUGUUUAUAUCAACCGGUGAUAUGGUUUUAGUAGCUGGAGAAAUGUGUGUAAUAUCCAGUGAAAUGUUUAUAGCAACCGGCUUAAUGUUUAUAGCAACCAGAGGUAUGUUUAUAGCAACAGGAGUGUGUUUAUAGCAACCAGGUUUAUGUUUAUAGCAACCAGAGACAUCAUAAUAGCAAUAGGAGAUAUGUUUAUAUCAAUGGGUGUUAUGCUUCUAGUAGCUGGAGAAAUAUGUGUAAUAUCCAGUGAAAUGUUUAUAGCAACCGGCUUAAUGUUUAUAGCAACCAGAGGUAUGUUUAUAGCAACAGGAGUGUGUUUAUAGCAACCAGAUUUACGUUUAUAGCAACCAGAGACAUGAUAAUAGCAAUAGGAGAUAUGUUUAUAUUAACCGGCGAUAUGCAUUUAGUAACUGAGGAAAUGUGUAUAAUACCCAGUGAAAUGAUUAUAGCAACCGGCUUAAUGUUUAUAGCAACCAGAGGUAUGUAUAUAGGAACAGGAGUGUGUUUAUAGCAACCAGAUUUAUGUUUGUAGCAACCAGAGGCAUCAUAAUAGCAAUAGGAGAUAUGUUUAUAUCAAUUAUUAAUGGGUGAUAUGCAUUUAGUAACUGAGGAAAUGUGUAUAAUACACAGUGAAAUGAUUAUAGCAACCGGCUUAAUGUUUAUAGCAACCAGAGGUAUGUAUAUAGGAACAGGAGUGUGUUUAUAGCAACCAGAUUUAUGUUUAUAGCAACCAGACACAUCAUAAUAGCAAUAGGAGAUAUGUUUAUAUCAAUGGGUGAUAUGCUUUUAGUAACUGGAGAAAUGUGUGUAAUAUCCAGUGAAAUGUUUAUAGCAACCGGCUUAAUGUUUAUAGCAACCAGAGGUAUGUUUAUAGCAACAGGAAUGUGUUUAUAGCAACCAGAUUUAUGUUUAUAGCAACCAGAGACAUGAUAAUAGCAAUAGGAGAUAUGUUUAUAUUAACCGGUGACAUGCAUUUAAUAACUGAGGAAAUGUGUAUAAUACCCAGUGAAAUGAUUAUAGCAACCGGCUUUAUGUUUAUAGCAACAGGAGUGUGUUUAUAGCAACCAGAUAUAUGUUUAUAGCAACCACACACAUGACAAUAGCAAUAGGAGAUAUGUUUAUAUCAAUGGGUGAUAUGCUUUUAGUAACUGGAGAAAUGUGUGUAAUAUCCAGUGAAAUGUUUAUAGCAACCGGCUUAAUGUUUAUAGCAACCAGAUUUAUGUUUAUAGCAACCAGAGACAUGAUAAUAGCAAUAGGAGAUAUGUUUAUAUUAACCGGUGACAUGCAUUUAAUAACUGAGGAAAUGUGUAUAAUACCCAGUGAAAUGAUUAUAGCAACCGGCUUUAUGUUUAUAGCAACAGGAGUGUGUUUAUAGCAACCAGAUAUAUAUUUAUAGCAACCACACACAUGACAAUAGUAAUAGGAGAUAUGUUUAUAUCAAUGGGUAAUAUGGUCUUAGUAGCUGGAGAAUUGUGUGUAAUAUCCAGUGAAAUGUUUAUAGCAACCGGCUUAAUGUUUAUAGCAACAGGAGUGUGUUUAUAGCAACCAGAUAUAUGUUUAUAGCAACCAGACAUAUGAUAAUAGCAAUAGGAGAUAUGUUUAUAUCAACCGGUGAUAUGGUUUUAGUAGCUGGAGAAAUGUGUGUAAUAUCCAGUGAAAUGUUUAUAGCAACCAGAGGUAUGUUUAUAACAACAGGAGUGUGUUUAUAGCAACCAGAUUUAUGUUUAUAGCAACCACACACAUGAUAAUAGCAAUAGGAGAUAUGUUUAUAUCAACCGGUGAUAUGGUUUUAGUAGCUGGAGAAAUGUGUAUAAUACCCAGUGAAAUCUUUAUAGCAACCGGCUUAAUGUAUAUGGCAACAGGACUGUGUUUAUAGCAACCAGAUUUAGGUUUAUAGCAACCAGAGACAUGAUAAUAGCAAUAGGAGAUAUGUUUAUAUUAACCGGUGAUAUGCAUUUAGUAAUUGAGGAAAUGUUUUUAACAUCUAGUGAAAUGUUUAUAGCAACCGACUUAAUGUUUAUAGCAACCAGAGGUGUGUUUAUAGCAAUAGGAGAUAUGUUUAUAGCAACCAGACACAUGAUAAUAGCAAUAGGAGAUAUGUUUAUAUCAACCGGUGAUAUGGUUUUAGUAGCUGGAGAAAUGUGUGUAAUAUCCAGUGAAAUGUUUAUAGCAACCGGCUUAAUGUUUAUAGCAACCAGAGGUAUGUUUAUAGCAACAGGAGUGUGUUUAUAGCAACCAGGUUUAUGUUUAUAGCAACCAGAGACAUCAUAAUAGCAAUAGGAGAUAUGUUUAUAUCAAUGGGUGUUAUGCUUCUAGUAGCUGGAGAAAUAUGUGUAAUAUCCAGUGAAAUGUUUAUAGCAACCGGCUUAAUGUUUAUAGCAACCAGAGGUAUGUUUAUAGCAACAGGAGUGUGUUUAUAGCAACCAGAUUUACGUUUAUAGCAACCAGAGACAUGAUAAUAGCAAUAGGAGAUAUGUUUAUAUUAACCGGCGAUAUGCAUUUAGUAACUGAGGAAAUGUGUAUAAUACCCAGUGAAAUGAUUAUAGCAACCGGCUUAAUGUUUAUAGCAACCAGAGGUAUGUAUAUAGGAACAGGAGUGUGUUUAUAGCAACCAGAUUUAUGUUUGUAGCAACCAGAGGCAUCAUAAUAGCAAUAGGAGAUAUGUUUAUAUCAAUUAUUAAUGGGUGAUAUGCAUUUAGUAACUGAGGAAAUGUGUAUAAUACACAGUGAAAUGAUUAUAGCAACCGGCUUAAUGUUUAUAGCAACCAGAGGUAUGUAUAUAGGAACAGGAGUGUGUUUAUAGCAACCAGAUUUAUGUUUAUAGCAACCAGACACAUCAUAAUAGCAAUAGGAGAUAUGUUUAUAUCAAUGGGUGAUAUGCUUUUAGUAACUGGAGAAAUGUGUGUAAUAUCCAGUGAAAUGUUUAUAGCAACCGGCUUAAUGUUUAUAGCAACCAGAGGUAUGUUUAUAGCAACAGGAAUGUGUUUAUAGCAACCAGAUUUAUGUUUAUAGCAACCAGAGACAUGAUAAUAGCAAUAGGAGAUAUGUUUAUAUUAACCGGUGACAUGCAUUUAAUAACUGAGGAAAUGUGUAUAAUACCCAGUGAAAUGAUUAUAGCAACCGGCUUUAUGUUUAUAGCAACAGGAGUGUGUUUAUAGCAACCAGAUAUAUGUUUAUAGCAACCACACACAUGACAAUAGUAAUAGGAGAUAUGUUUAUAUCAAUGGGUAAUAUGGUCUUAGUAGCUGGAGAAUUGUGUGUAAUAUCCAGUGAAAUGUUUAUAGCAACCGGCUUAAUGUUUAUAGCAACAGGAGUGUGUUUAUAGCAACCAGAUAUAUGUUUAUAGCAACCAGACAUAUGAUAAUAGCAAUAGGAGAUAUGUUUAUAUCAACCGGUGAUAUGGUUUUAGUAGCUGGAGAAAUGUGUGUAAUAUCCAGUGAAAUGUUUAUAGCAACCAGAGGUAUGUUUAUAACAACAGGAGUGUGUUUAUAGCAACCAGAUUUAUGUUUAUAGCAACCACACACAUAAUAAUAGCAAUAGGAGAUAUGUAUAUAUUAACCGGUGAUAUGCAUUUGGUAACUGAGGAAAUGUGUGUAAUAUCCAGUGAAAUGUUUAUAGCAACCGGCUUAAUGUUUAUAGCAACCAGAAGUAUGUUUAUAGCAACCAGAUUUAUGUUUAUAGCAACCAGAGACAUGAUAAUAGCAAUAGGAGAUAUGUUUAUAUUAACCGGUGAUAUGCAUUUAGUAACUGAGGAAAUGUGUAUAAUACCCAGUGAAAUGAUUAUAGCAACCGGCUUAAUGUUUAUAGCAACCAGAGGUAUGUUUAUACCAACAGGAGUGUGUUUAUAGCAACCAGAUAUAUGUUUAUAGCAACCACACACAUGAUAAUAGCAAUAGGAGAUAUGUUUAUAUCAACCGGUGAUAUGGUUUUAGUAGCUGGAGAAAUGUGUAUAAUACCCAGUGAAAUCUUUAUAGCAACCGGCUUAAUGUAUAUGGCAACAGGACUGUGUUUAUACCAACCAGAUUUAGGUUUAUAGCAACCAGAGACUUGAUAAUAGCAAUAGGAGAUAUAUUUAUAUUAACCGGUGAUAUGCAUUUAGUAACUGAGUAAAUGUGUAUAAUACCCAGUGAAAUGUUUAUAGCAACCAGAGGUAUGUUUAUAGCAACAGGACUGUGUUUAUAGCAACCAGAUAUAUGUUUAUAGCAACCAGACACGUGAUAAUAGCAAUAGGGGAUAUGUUUAUAUCAACCGGUGAUAUGGUUUUUGUAGCUGGUGAAAUGUGUGUAAUAUCCAGUGAAAUGUUUAUAGCAACCGGCUUAAUGUUUAUAGCAACCAGAAGUAUGUUUAUAGCAACAGGAGUGUGUUUAUAGCAACCAGAUUUAUGUUUAUAGCAACCAGAGACAUCAUAAUAGCAAUAGGAGAUAUGUUUAUAUCAAUGGGUGAUAUGCUUUUAGUAACUGGAGAAAUGUGUGUAAUAUCCUGUGAAAUGUUUAUAGCAACCAGCUUAAUGUUUAUAGCAACCAGAGGUAUGUUUAUAGCAACAGGAGUGUGUUUAUAGCAACCAGAUAUAUGUUUAUAGCAACCACACACAUGAUAAUUGUAAUAGGAGAUAUGUUUAUAUCAAUGGGUGAUAUGGUCUUAGUAGCUGGAGAAUUGUGUGUAAUAUCCAGUGAAAUGUUUAUAGCAACCGGCUAAAUGUUUAUAGCAACCAGAGGUAUGUUUAUAGCAUCCAAAGGUAUGUUUAUAGCAACCACACACAUGAUAAUAGCAAUAGGAGAUAUGUUUAUAUUAACCGGUGAUAUGCAUUUAGUAACUGAGUAAAUGUGUAUAAUACCCAGUGAAAUGAUUAUAGCAACCGGCUUAAUGUUUAUCGCAACCAGAGGUAUGUUUGUAGCAACCAGAUAUAUGUUUAUAACAACCACACACAUGAUAAUAGCAAUAGGAGAUAUGUUUAUAUUAACCGGUGAUAUGCAUUUAGUAACUGAGGAAAUGUGUAUAAUACCCAGUGAAAUGUUUAUAGCAACCAGAGGUAUGUUUAUAGCAACAGGACUGUGUUUAUAGCAACCAGAUAUAUGUUUAUAGCAACCAGACACAUGAUAAUAGCAAUAGGGGAUAUGUUUAUAUCAACCGGUGAUAUGGUUUUUGUAGCUGGUGAAAUGUGUGUAAUAUCCAGUGAAAUGUUUAUAGCAACCGGCUUAAUGUUUAUAGCAACCAGAAGUAUGUUUAUAGCAACAGGAGUGUGUUUAUAGCAACCAAAUUUAUGUUUAUAGCAACCAGAGACAUCAUAAUAGCAAUAGGAGAUAUGUUUAUAUCAAUGGGUGAUAUGCUUUUAGUAACUGGAGAAAUGUGUGUAAUAUCCUGUGAAAUGUUUAUAGCAACCAGCUUAAUGUUUAUAACAACCAGAGGUAUGUUUAUAGCAACAGGAGUGUGUUUAUAGCAACCAGAUAUAUGUUUAUAGCAACCACACACAUGAUAAUUGUAAUAGGAGAUAUGUUUAUAUCAAUGGGUGAUAUGGUCUUAGUAGCUGGAGAAUUGUGUGUAAUAUCCAGUGAAAUGUUUAUAGCAACCGGCUAAAUGUUUAUAGCAACCAGAGGUAUGUUUAUAGCAACCAAAGGUAUGUUUAUAGCAACCAGAGGUCUGUUUAUAGCAACAGGAGUGUGUUUAUAGCAAACAGGAGUGUGUUUAUAGCAACCAUACACAUGAUAAUAGCAAGAGGAGAUAUGUUUAUAUCAACCGGUGAUAUUUUUUUAGUAGCUGGAGAAAUGUGUGUAAUAUACAGUUAAAUGUUUAUAGCAAUCGGCUUAAUGUUUAUAGCAACCAGAGGUAUGUUUAUAGCAACAGGAGUGUGUUUAUAGCAACCAGAUUUAUGUGUAUAGCAACCAGAGACAUGAUAAUAGCAAUAGGAGAUAUGUUUAUAUUAACCGUUGAUAUGCAUUUAGUAACUGAGGAAAUGUCUGUAAUAUUCAGUGAAAUGUUUAUAGCAACCGGCUUAAUGUUUAUAGCAACCAGAGGGAUGUUUAUAGCAACAGGAGUGUGUUUAUAGCAACCAGAGACAUGAUAAUAGCAAUAGGCGAUAUGUUUAUAUUAACCGGUGAUAUGCGUUUAGUAACUGAGGAAAUGUGUAUAAUACCCAGUGAAAUGAUUAUAGCAACCGGCUUAAUGUUUAUAGCAACCAGAGGUAUGUUUAUAGCAACAGGACUGUGUUUAUAGCAACCAGAUAUAUGUUUAUAGCAACCAGACACAUGAUAAUAGCAAUAGGGGAUAUGUUUAUAUCAACCAGUGAUAUGGUUUUAGUAGCUGGUGAAAUGUGUGUAAUAUCCAGUGAAAUGUUUAUAGCAACCGGCUUAAUGUUUAUAGCAACCAGAAGUAUGUUUAUAGCAACAGGAGUGUGUUUAUAGCAACCAGAUUUAUGUUUAUAGCAACCAGAGACAUCAUAAUAGCAAUAGGAGAUAUGUUUAUAUCAAUGGGUGAUAUGCUUUUAGUAACUGGAGAAAUGUGUGUAAUAUCCUGUGAAAUGUUUAUAGCAACCAGCUUAAUGUUUAUAGCAACCAGAGGUAUGUUUAUAGCAAGAGGAGUGUGUUUAUAGCAACCAGAUUUAUGUUUAGAGCAACCAGAGACAUCAUAAUAGUAAUAGGAGAUAUGUUUAUAUUAACCGGUGACAUGCAUUUAGUAACUGAGGAAAUGUGUAUAAUACCCAGUGAAAUGUUUAUAGCAACCGGCUUAAUGUUUAUAGCAACCAGAGGUAUGUUUAUACCAACAGGAGUGUGUUUAUAGCAACCAGAUAUAUGUUUAUAGCAACCAGAGACAUGAUAAUAGCAAUAGGAGAUAUGUUUAUAUUAACCGGUGAUAUGCAUUUAGUAAUUGAGUAAAUGUUUUUAACUUCACUUCAUGAUGAUUUGACGUUAUUCCUUUAUCUAUUUUAUGACUGCAUAACUCAAUUUUGCUGCCAGCUUCAAAGCAUUUACCUGAGACAUCGUGUCGGGCAUAGAUCUUUAAAUCUACUUUCUGACAUGUCUAAACCUUAAUUUGCUUACUAUGGGACUUUGUAAGAUUUAGAAAGUAAAAUGAAUUACUAAGUUUUAUCUGUCCCUGGUGUCUGGCUUCCCUGGUGAAGCUGUGUGUAAGAGUAUUUUAUUUCACUAACAUUUAGAAAGGGUAUUCCACCCCCCUGCUUGCUGUGAGACUCAUUGCCUUGUUUACAUAACGCAUUCCUUAGCUCAGACUUGAAUGAUUAGAUUUACAGAUAGGAAAGAAAUGUUGUGUCUGUCUUGCCUGAAAUCCAAAAUGGAGUCUGCUCUGUUUUAAGUGUAACUGGCAAUGUACCCUAUUCAUUUUUAUCGUAGCGCAGAAUGUCUGCCGCUAUAAAUAUAGUGACAUUGCAAAAGGAACUAACAUACACAGGUUUAUUUUUACUCAGUAUUUCCCCAUAUGCUUAUUACAUUUAAAUUAUUGUGACAAUUUCAAUAAAAUACAAAUAAACAAAUUAUAUCAGAAAACAUUCAGGAACUUAUAGUAACAUAAUUAAAUAUUUAUAAAGGGGUGGGGAAGACAAUAAUUAGCCUAAAAUAUCUUUCAUGUGGCCUAUAGUUUAGUGGAAGAAGAAGUAUACAUGUUAGGUAUAUUUUAAAAUCACAACUUAUUAUAUAUGACGAGGCACAGCACAUAAAAGGUGGAAUUGCUUUCUUUAUCCAUAGUUGUAGAUAGAGCAAUAUCAAUACCCCUAAUACUUUUUUUUUUUUUUUUUUAAUUCUUUAUUUUUGUUCGUGCAUAGAAUGACAAUUAGGUCUGUUACGCCCCAACAGCGGUGAGAGACCGAUAUACAACAGCUGGUAUCAUGGCAUAGGAAAUACUGUGCACAAUUAUUAGUUUUUGCGGUUAGAUACAUGUUGAAACGAGAUGCAGUUAUGAUUAAGUUUGCUUAGAGGUUAAUAAGGUUACACUGUGUGCCCCUAAUACUUUAAAUUAAAUCUUUGUGUGUUUCUUUCCAGGUUUAUUCAAGAUAACAAAGAAAUUAAUAAAUUCAAGAAUUAGCAGGGAGAAAAAAUGUCAGACUAUGAACUAAACAAUCAUUUUCCAAAUAAAACUAACAUUGUGGCUUCACAUAAAGAAGGAGAUUUAGCAAACACUAAUAUACAGACUAGAGAAAAAAAACUCACAGUCAUCUACAUUUGUACACCCACCGAACAUCCACAGACACAAUAUCCAUCUACUCAUAUUAAGGAGGAACCAGCCUCGUGUGGAGAAGACAAUCUUACUGACAUUUCUAAACCCACAGAACAGCCACAGACAGAAUAUCCAUCUAUUUAUAUUAAGGAAGAACCCGCCUUGUGUGAAGAAGACAAUCUCACAGAUAUUUCUAAACACACAGAACAUCCACAGACCCAAUAUCCAUCUACUCAUUAAGGAGGAACCAGCCUUGUGUGAAGAAGACAAUAUCACAGAUAUUUUUAAACCCACAGAACAUCCACAGACCGAAUACCUAUCUACUCAUAUUAAGGAAGAACCAGCCACGUGUGAAGAAGACAGUCUCACAGAUAUUUCUAAACACACAGAACAUCCACAAACAGAAUAUCCAUCUACUCAUAUUAAGGAGGAACCAGACUCAUGUGAUGAAAGAAAUCUCACUGACAUUUCUGCACCCACAGAACAUCCACAGACACAAUUUUCAUCUUCUCAUAUUAAGGAAGAAACAGCCUCACGUGAAGAAGGAAAUCUCACAAACAUUUCUGCACCCACAGAACAUCCACAGACACAAUAUCUAUCUACUCAUAUUAAGGAGGAGCCAGCCUCGUGUGAAGAAGGAAAUCUCACUGACAUUUAUACACCAGAACAUCCACAGACAGAAUAUCAGUCUACUCAUAUUAAAGAGGAACCAGCCUUGUGUGAAGGAAAUCUCACAAACAUUUCUGCACCCACAGAACAUCCACAGACACAAUAUCUAUCUACUCAUAUUAAGGAGGAGCCAGCCUCGUGUGAAGAAGGAAAUCUCACUGAUAUUUAUACACCAGAACAUCCACAGACAGAAUAUCAGUCUACUCAUAUUAAAGAGGAACCAGCCUUGUGUGAAGGAAAUCUCACAAACAUUUCUGCACCCACAGAACAUCCACAGACAGAAUAUUCAUCUUCUCAUAUUAAGGGGGAGAGAGAUAUGACUGAAAAAUGGGAAUUAUGUGAAGAUGUAAACAUUUUAGAAACUAACAUCUGUUCACUCACAGAAGAUCAACAAACAGAUUAUUCCUCUAUUCAAAUUAUGGGUGACUCUGCCUCUUGUGAAGGGAACUCUUCUGAGCAUGAUACAUGUUCUACCAGCAAAAAUGAUCUUGUAAAGCACCAGAGAACUCACAGUAGAGAGAAACGUUUCCCUUGCUCUGAAUGUGUGAAAUGUUUUACCACAAAAUCAAAGCUUGUUCAACAUCAUCGAACUCACACAGGAGAGAAACCGUUUUUUUGCUCUGAAUGUGGGAAAUGCUUUACCACAAAAUCACAUCUUAUUCAGCAUCAUAGAUCUCACACAGGCGAGAAACCGUUCUUGUGUUCUGAAUGUGGGAAACGGUUCAGCCAGCGUUCCUAUCUUGUUAAACAUAUAAGAACUCACACAGGAGAGAAGUCUUUCUCAUGUUCUGACUGUGGGAAUCUUUUUAGCUGGUACAAGUGUCUUGUUAGGCAUCAGAGUACUCACACAAGAGAGAAACCUUUCUCAUGUUCUGAAUGUGGGAAAUAUUUUACCACAAAAUCAUAUUUAGUUCAGCACCAGAGAACCCACACUGGAGAGAAACCUUUUUCAUGUCCUGAAUGUGGGAAACGGUUCAGCCAAAACUCAAAUCUUGUUACACAUCAGAAAACUCACACAAGAGGAAAACCUUUCUCAUGUUCUGAAUGUGGGAAAUGUUUUAAAUGUCAGUCAAAUCUUGUUAAACAUCAGAGAACCCACACAGUAUUCUCCUGCUUGGAGUGUGGGGAAUGUUUUACUUGGCAUGCAAACUUUAUUAGACAUCAGAGAACCCACACCAUAUUCUCAUGCUCCGAAUGUGGGAAAUGUUUUACAUGCAAUUCUAACCUUGUUAGACAUCAAAGAAGUCACACUGUAUUCUCGUGUUCAGAAUGUGGGAAAUUUUUUACGUGCAAUUCUAACCUUGUUAAACAUCUUAGAACUCAUACAGGAGAGAAACCAUUCUUUUGUUCUGAAUGUGGGAAAGCUUUUAGCUAUUAUGAAAGCCUUGUUAGGCAUCAGAGAACUCACACUGGAGAGAAACCAUUCUCGUGUGAUGAAUGUGGGAAAUAUUUCAGCCAUAAUGCAAGCCUUGUUAGGCAUCAAAGUACUCACACUAAAGAGAAGCCCUUCUCGUGUUCUGAAUGUGGGAAAUUUUUUAUCAGUAAAUCACAUUUAGGUCGGCAUCAGAAAACCCACACAGGAGAGAAACCUUUCUUGUGUUCUGACUGUGGGAAAUGCUUUAAAAGAAAAUCACAUCUAAUGCGACAUCAUAGAAUUCACAUACAAGAGAAACCUUUUUGAAUUUGAGAAAUGUUUUAGCCAAUGCCAAAUUGUUGGCCAUGCUGAGAGCUUUUUAAAGUAGAAAUAUAAUCACAUUUUGUGUUUUGGGGCAGAGGGGGUUAUAUGUACAGAUUAUGUAGAGCCUGGGGUGAUGUGCAUUAACAUAAAAAGCAUCUUAAUAUGUCUGAGGAUUGUGCAAUAUAUAUAUAUAUAUAUAUAUAUAUAUAUAUAUACACAUAUUACUCAUAUGGGCAAUAAACGAUAGAGCCCACUUAGUAAAGAAAAUAGACUUUGUGUUUAGCUAUAGCCUAUGCAGGGCCAGCUUCAUGGGUGUGCGAGCUGUGCGACCCCACAGGGCACCAUUACAACGGGGGCUUUGGGCAGCUGAAGCAGCUCACACACGCAGGGGCAGAUAACAUCAAAACUCUCCGCAACAAGUAAGGGAGGUGGAGCGGAGCUUAAUAGGGCGGGCCAAAUCAGCAGUUUGGUGGUGUCAAAUAUGGCCUCUAUUAGCUGCUGUUACUGCUGCUCACUAAGGUAGAAGCAGGAAUGAGUCCCUGCUUCCCCAACUACUAGACACCAGGGACUUAAUUGAAUCAACCCUCUUCAAGCCCAUACUGUCUAUAAGUGAGAGAGAGAGAGUGUGUGUGUGUGAGACUGUCUACAUGUAACUGUGUGUGUGACUGCCCGGAGACUGAGUUACUGUCUACCUAUAAUUGUGUGUGUGACUGUGUGUGUGACUGUCUGUCUGUAAUUUUGUGUGUGACUGUGUGUGUGUGAUUGUCUGCCUGUGACUGUGUGUGUGUGUGAGACUGCCUGUGAAUAUGUUUAAUUACCUGUGUGAAUGUCUGUGUGUCAAAGUCUGCCUGUAACUGUGUGUGACUAUCUGCUUGUAACUGUGUGUGUGACUGCCAGUAACUGUAUGUGUGGGACUGUGCGCAUGUGGCUUUAUUUUCACAGUUAAUACACAUAUGUGUAUUACUGUGUGCAUGUGACCCUGCAAAACUACACAUCUGCACACAUGGGCCUACAUGCAUUUUUAUUUUUUAAUCUGAAUUAAAUACCUACGAAUAUACACAGAGGUGGAGGCACAGACCAGAUUCCCAGCACACUGAACCACCAUAGAGAUUGGCAUGCCAUCAUCCAUACAAGGUAACAACAGUGAAGGGGGGAUUAUAUAUAUAUAUAUAUAUAUAUAAAAAAAAUGAUUAAUGUAAUAAAGCCCCUAUACAAACACUACUCCCCUAUGCACAAAUUCUAUGUAACCAUAGAGGGGCUUCUAAUGGCCUAAGGCUGUCCCUGAACCUAUGUAGAAUAAUGGUGGUUAUUUUUGAGCAGUACUAGAUAUAGAUGUACUAUAAGUGUUUGAAAGAAUGCUAGCAAAAUAUGUAGGGGAAGAUUUAUUAGAAUGCCAUGUUCUGAAACGUGUAAACGGACAAGAUAACGAAUAUGCCUGCUAAUUGGUUUUCAUGGUGAUUGUCCCACAUUUAGAUAUUUGAGUGGUUGCACAGCAGAUGGGCUACUCUGACUUUCUCGAAAUUCUACAGGAAAACUCUUUCAUACUUACUUGCCACCUAUACCUACCUGCAGAGGCAACAUCCUUAGGCACCUGCACACAGUGUGGUGACAGCCUUUAAUGUCAAAGAAUCACUGAGUCUUCCCACUACUGGGGCUUUCCAAGUUCCGGGCGAGGGAAACAAACAAUCCCUUUACAGGUUCUUAAUUCGCUCAGCCAUGAAACUUCCUUGAGAUCUUCCUCCCCUUCAAACGGUGGGGGUUAUCAUGGUCCACACUGGCGAUGCUUCAAGUAUUGCCUGACUCAGACAGUCUUAGCAUACAGAGGCAAAAGGGCCUUGUUACAAAAUGCCUUUUGUAACUUUUGUUUUAUGCGACAAAUUGCCCUGCUUCCCUGUAUUAUGGAGAAGCCUCAUUGCCAGCCUUCUUCCCCAUGUCUAUGCACUUAGUGUGUAUGGCCCUUUAAGAACCGUCUGGGGACACAUUGAAACUUUUGGGAACAAUGCCCAUUUAAGACUGUGUCCCCAGGCCCCUAAAAUACCUUGUUUGUUCCCUUUUCUGAACCAAGUACCACACAGGCGGACCACCCAGAAGUGUAAGUGUGUCGUCAUUUUACCUCCCAGGCUGGGAGGCUGCUGAAGGUAAAUUACCAACCGCUGGGGCGGCCAUCUUUAUCCAGGUGAACGCGGUCAGCGGUGUGUGCAGCCAAAUUCAUGGAACUGAAAUCAGCUACACAUUUAGCCGAACACCGCUGACCCUUACCUUCUUGGUAGUUUUCGGCCACAGAGACUAAGUACCGUUUGUGCAUGCGAAUAGGACUUAGUCAUUUUUUCAUGUGAAAUUGACUGACUGCACAGCCCAAAUCUAUGUAACGGUUUUGGGCAGGAAAAUGUGCUUGCGGUCACAAAGGACUUCCGUCUAACUUUUUAGCUACUGGAGGGAUUUGUAUGAUUUUUGAGAGUGUUUAUAUUUGAAGUAUGCUGAGUUUGAAUAUGUGAUUUUUAUGAAGACUGGAUGUAUAGUUUUAAAGUUACAGCAUAUGUGUAAAAAGUAUAUUUUUCCUGCCUGUGAUAGUUACAUUAAACCAUUGUGUACAGUAAUUAUAUCACAGGUAGAGGGGAGGAUUUUGUGGGAAUGAAUGGGAGUGUUUUUCUGUAAUGUACGUGUUUUAUUGGUUGUUCUACAAAACCCUGUGGGCGGUACUGUAUGUGUAAAACCUGCAUAAAAGAAAGCCCUUUGGUGCCAAUUAAAGAGAACUACUUGACCCUCUAACUCACAGCCUCGACUCGUGUUUGUAGGAGACAGCUAUAAUCACUAAAUGCUCUUCAUAAUCCCUUAGCUACUGAGCUCUUGUAAGAGUUCUUGUUCCUGAUCCUGCUUCGCUCUACAGAAGGAAGAGGUUCACCUACUGGAACCUGGAGCCUGGUCAUAGGUCCAGGGUGGAUAGCAGACAGCGAGAUCCCAGCCCAGCAGUGGUGGUUCGUAGAGUCUGCAGUAGUUAUGGUGUCUACGGUGCUGAUGGUCCUUAGGUGAGCGCGAGGAGCAUCCUUUCUAUGGUCCAACUUCCAGCUAGCCUGGAGGCAACCAUAACAGGCGUACUUAUCAAGAUUGACCUGUGCCCACAAACCAAAGACCUAUUAGCAAAAUACAAUCUGCUGAUGAAGGACUUCUUAGAUGGGUUGAGACAGAGAGCAACAGUAUGCCUACCUCAUCCUGACCAGCUGGCUGACAAUUGACACCCUCAAGACCUUGUACAGGGUGACUCAGCAAGCACCCACAUCAUUCAAUGGCACCUUUGUAGGCUGGGAGCUAGCUUGGGUAGAAACUGCUCACACCAACCACAUCCUCCAACAGCUUUGCAACAGAGGCACCAUCGAUCUCAAUCACUGCAGCAUACCAGGCAAAAGCACCCUGAACUUUAUCCAAGUGUGGGACAGUGGAGGUAGGCUUAGGGCUCUUAUACAGGCCUGGGGCGGGUAUGAAGUGUGUGACAGGACACCCAAUCAGCAUCUUGCUUACAGCCUACCCUAGCCGCUGAGGUAUAGUGGGCAUGACCGGGAAAUCUUAGCCUGCUGGAACUCUGUGCCAGAUCGAGGGGCUAGUCACUGAACUUUGAACUUCUAAUUCAGGCUAGCAAUAUCCGAUCCGAGCGCUUUUCGGACACAAUGGAUGCUCCAGGAAGACCUUUCUGGAAAUGUAGGUUCCUAUAUGUUUUAUAUGUGUUUUUUAUGGUUUACAUUGUUAUGCUUAGUCAUGCUGACACAAGAAAUCUAGUUUGUAUUUUUAUGCUUGAAAUUCAUGGGCAUGUUGUGGGAGUGUUCUGGGCAUGGUUGACUGUACCCUUGCUGUGUAUAUAAGUGGACCAUCUGGACAUGAUAAAUGCAUUACCUCUUCUGCUUACUAAGUGCAUACUCAUAUGUAAUCGCAAUUAACUCUGUGUGACAUUUUCCAAAAUGUGGUUACUCGUAUAAAAUUUACAAAACAAAUGGUGCAGUAUUCUCCUACAAACUUGUUUUACCACAUAUGAUUUUACGCUUUUUAUUGUUGUUGCAUAUUUUUUGUAUACUGCUUGAACCACAGUACAAAAUGAUUGACAAAAAGAUGUGAUACUUUUAAAGAUGAUUUACAAGCUGAUACCUGAGCCUAACUUGGCUUAAUGCAUGUAUAAUGUAAGUGUAGGCUUUGCAUGACUCUGGGAAAUAAAUUGGCAUUAUAAGUGCUCAGUUAUAGCUUUAAACAUUGACAUUCUAGCUCUGUCUUCAGCUAUAAAUAUUGAAAAACUGGGUCUGUGAGAGUUAUUUAAUGCCCCAUUAAUCUCUCAAUGAUUUCUAUUCUCUGUGACAAUAAAGGGGAAAGCAAAACAUUUGAGAUGUUUGUAAUUAGAGAUCAUCGAACUCUAACACCAAUCAUUAAUAAAAAAAUAAUCAAAACAGGCUUGUGUAUGACCUACUUUUCCAACACCCUGGGUUCAUGGGGAGUCCUACUGCAGAGCCCCUAUCCUUUCUUGCCUCUUGUGGGAUAAUUAAGUGUUUGGUAAUAAAUAGGGCAGAGUAUGUCCUGGCUUUUUGGCUAUUAAAUGGUACAUGUCAUGACAAAUACAACUUACUCUGAUAUGAUAGAAAAUUUAAUUUCAUCUAUGCAUCGUGCUAGCAAAUGUCUGCAUUUCUCUAAAGUCAAAUGUUAAAAAAUAGUCCUUUCCCCAUCUACUCAGGACAGACUUUGUGUGAGAGUACAUCCAGCAGCAGCACAGAGAGAGGAAAGAAACAGAAUGACUUUGUACAAAAGCUAUAGACUCGCAGUCUGAUAAUGGAGAGAGAAAACAGAUCUGUGUAGAGGAUUUUUACCCUGAAGAGGUUUAUCAUACAGCAAGUGUAACACCCACUGAAAACAUGAUUGAUGUUCUCCGCAUGAGAUGGAUAAUGGAAAUAAAUUAAAAUAUAAGUUUUUAAUAGUAUUAAGGAAAUAAAAUUUUUUAUACAUGAGCCAAAGCAGAUGGUUAGAAAACUGCAACCUUAUCACUGUCAUGGAAGGUUCACUGUAAUAUAUAAUGUGAAUGAGAGUAUGCCCAAUCAUCUGGCCCUUAACCCCUUCACCACUAACUAAUCUGACAUGGUACUGUUACGGUUGCCUCCAGGCUGGCUGGAAGUUGGACCGUAGUAAAGAAUGCUCCUAGCGCUCACCAAAGGACCAUCAACACCGUAGACAACAUACUACUGCGUAGCUACCAUAAGUACUGCAGACUCCACGAACCACCGCUGCUGGGCUGGUAUCUCGCCGUCUGCUCUGUGCCCUGGACCCACGACCAGGCUCCAGG